rnacentral:lncRNA from 1 species
UUUUUAUUUUGUAUCACAAAUAUGAUUAUAUAACUGGAAUUCACAUAUAUCACACAGAUCCACAUAUAUAUCACACAAAUCCACAUAUAUAGCACACAUAAACCAUAAUAAAUGAGUUCAACAAGUCCGGGACACCACUACAAUGCCAGCAUUUCAGUCUGUGAAGCCAAAUAGCUAUUAUUGCAAGAACUUCCAGAACCAUGGGACUCCACAUUAUGAUUAUAUGAGCGUAGUUCUUCAAUCUACAGCUUUCCGAUGAAACUAUCACCAGACAACCAAGGCACCUCUAAGCCUCCACAAGGCAGAGGCAGGGGCACAGACAGCGCCAAGGGGGGCAACGCCGGAGCGGUCGCAGAAACGCCGGAGCAAAAUUUAUUUCACAUGGUUCUGCUCUAUUUUCCCUGUGAGUUAGAGAUUUAAAGAAUAUAAGCAGUGAUGCCAUAUGUUCUAAAUAAAUGAUAAUAUAUAUGAUUUGGAUGUUGGAAUAAACUAACUGCACAAACAUACAGAUGCCAUGAUAGCAAAAUUCGAGCAUGGAAUCUGAUCCACAAUAAACAACAUCUGCAAGAGUCUCUACAUCAACUCCGUUCUAUUUAUAGUGAUACAGUCCUUUGACUAAGCCUCUCAGUUUCACUAAAUAUAGCACAGCAAGCCAAAGAACUAACUUGGCCAAAUCAAGUAUAUGACAUAUUGAACUGCAGGAAGGGGGGCUUGUCUCAUUUGUACCCAAGUAACCAUUAUUUUGUAUUUUUUCCCCAACUAUGCAACUAAAAAACAGUAAAGACAUAAAUAAAAAUGUGCACCAUUGUUGUGGAAGUAUAUAGAGCUGAUAUAAGUUGUAACACUAGGGGUUUCCUUGGCAAAUUAUAAGCUGAAACUUAACAUAAAAAGCGUAGCUUGUAAGAUUCAGACACCAGGUUAAGUUGGCCUAACUUGACAAACUGAAAGGAUCAAGAUGCCCAAGAGGGGGGGGGGGUGAAUUGGGCUUCUCUAAAAAUUUAAGCAACCUAUAAGUUCUAAUUCAACCCCUUGUGCCUAGUGUGACUUAAAGAGCUACCGGAUAAAAGUUUUGCAACCUAGUUCCAAUCCUAUUCUAGCAUGGCAAUUCUAAGAAUGUAAAAGCACAAAGUAAUUGCUAGAAAGUAAAGGAGUAGUGGAAGAAAAUGCUCGGCGAUGUUUUGCCGAGGUAUCGGAGAGUCGCCACUCUCCACUAGUCCUCGUUGGAGCACCCGCGCAAGGGUCUUGCUCCCCCUUGGUCCGCGCAAGGACCAAGUGCUCUCUACGGGCUGAUUCUUCGACACUCCGUCGCGGUGAAUCGCCCAAAACCGCUCACAAGCUUGACACGAGCCACCCACAAGAACUCCGGGUGGUCUUCGUGCCUCCAAUCACCACCGAACCGUCUAGGUGAUGGCGAUCACCAAGAGUAACAAGCAAAGAACUCUCACUUGACCCAAACAAGGCACUAGAGAGUGGUGGAUGCACACUUGACUCUUGGAACUCACUAGAGAAGGAUUCUCUCAAGAAAUCACUCAAUUCUCAAUCCUCUCUAGGCUCUUGCAACUCUCUUGCUCCACAAACAAGUUUCUCUGAUGUUCAAAUGGGCAAGAGAGCUCUCAUGGACGAGGUGGAGGAGUAUAAAUACUAUCCACCAAGUCCAAAGGUCGGCCAACCGUUUUCCACUAAAAACGGGGUCACCGGACGCACAUUAUGUUGCACCGGACGCACUGCACCGAGCGUCCGGUGCUUCAUAACGGCUACCUGCUCUUUUCUCUGACAGGUCACCGGACGCUAACUCUCAGCGUCCGGUGCACCGUCCGGUGCUCGGGGAAACUUUACACGCUCCCUGCGCAUGGGACCGGACGCUACCCGGUGCGUCCGGUGCUAGCGUCCGGUGCUCAGGGGAACUUUGCAAGCUCCCUGGGUAAGGGACCGGACGCUGCCCGGUGCGUCCGGUGCCAGCGUCCGGUGCCUAACCCUAAGCACCAAACUGUUCCAACGGCUAAGGACCUCACCGGACGCACUCACAGAGCGUCCGGUGCAGCGUCCGGUGCCCCUUUGGGCACCCAAACUUCGUCGAAACGCGAUCGCUCGAACACGAAGUUUGUUCCUCUCGAUCUAAGGACUAUCUCUGAGCUGCCUAGUGCUAGGUUUACCAAGUGUGCACCACACCUAAACCUAAUGCCUUGCCUAAGUCAAGCUACUAGAUCAAAGCCCCUCUUAAUAGUACGGUCAAAGGAAAACAAAGUCCUAAACUACUCUAAGUGCCCUUCUUCACCAUAUGGCACUUAGACCUAGUCUAGUCUUGACGAUGUCCAUCCAUCCUUUGAAAACCGAAACGAUUUCCACUAUUAAGUAGGCAUGUACGUCCCUGUCCAUCGAGUACCUAUAUACCAUGACUUUACCUAUGACUUUGCCUCUGCAAAACACACGUUAGUCAUAGUAAUCAAUAAUGUCAUUAAUCACCGAAAUCACUAGGGGCCUAGAUGCUCUUUCAAUCUCCCCCUUUUUGGUGAUUGAUGACAACCUCGAGUAGAAAAGAGUUGAGGUUUUCAAAGUGACUUGGUUUCAAUAAGCAUGUUACAAUAAGAACUAAGGGAUUAGACAUGCUUAUAUCAACCAAGUCCAAUAUCCUGCAUCCAAAUAUGUGAGUGGUACACGACAGGAUAUAAACAUAAGGCUCAUAAGUACAUCGAAGUAAAAACGCGGAAGCAAAGGUAAUAUGAGCCAAAACACAUGACAUUAAGAUAUCACAACAACCAUAAGUCAUGUCUCACAAUCAUAGUAUCUCACACAAGUGCAAUGCAAAAAAGUAAACGUGAUGCAUGAUAAAGUAGCACACAUAUCAAAUAUCUCAAAGAAUAAACUCCCUCUGUAGCUAGCUCCCCCUAACUCCCUAACUCUCUCAUACGCACUCUCUCCCCCUUUGGCAUCAAGCGCCAAAAACCUAAGAAGACGGAGGAGGAGGCGGAGCAGUAGAGUCCCUCGGCGCGGCCACGAAACGAGCUGCAUCAUGUGAACUGUCGGCCGUCGAGGCGGAGGAGAUGGAGUGACCCUCUGAAACUGCAGGUGCUGGAGAAGCGGUCCGGGUCUGCUCUGGCGCUGUCACAGGCUGUGCAGGCCGCUCAAAUCCGGCUGACGAAGCUGGCACGGACUCGGUCGCUGUAGCUGUCGUCUCUGGAACGGUAGUAGACGGUGCAAGCUGCUCGGACGACGCUACUGACGACGACAGGAGCUCUGUGGUGGUAACUGGUGCCGUAAAGACUGCAGGAGCCUGCAGAGGAGGAGGCGUAGGGUCACCAGUCAGAGCACUGUAGGUGAAGCUGAGGUGCGGAUCUGUCUGCGAAUCCCACACAAGCUGUGACGCUGACGCUGACUGAGGAGUGAAGCCUGAGCGGAGAGGAGUAAACUGCGGUACCUGCUCAAAGCCUGAAGAGAUAGCACCCUGAGAGACCUGGUGCUGUGGCGUCGAGAACGGCUGACUCUGAGCUGGUAACUGAAGCGGCUGCUGAGACGGGCUCUGAGUCUGAGGCACAGGAGUAGGGGGCCUGACUGACGACGUGCCGGGGAGCUGUAUCUGCGGUAGCUGAAUCCCGGAGGCGGCCAUAAGAGCGGCCAUCAUCGCUGUCUGCUGGGCCUGGAAAGCAAGCUGCUGCUCCUGAAAAGUGAGAAGCUGACGCUGGAGCUCAUCCUGCCUGGCCUGCAUGGCUGCAUUGAUGGCAGCCUGAUCCCUGUCUCGCCUCGCCUGCUCCUCAGCUGCACGUCGCUGAUCUGCCCUCAUCCCCUCUAGAAUAGCAAGCAGGGCGGGGUCGGAAGCACUCGAAGAACCGCCUGCCUCGUGGUCAUGAGCUCUGGGAGGAAGGUCAGUCACUGGCGGCUGAUAGUCAUCGUCUGAACUGUCUGAGGCGAAGUCAAACUCGCCCUCUGCCUCUGCAUCGGCGAACACGCCGAUAGCUACGUCCUGUUGCUCCUCUGUCUCUGCAACAACUGCUGUACUGCGGGUGCCCCUAGGAGAAGGUGGGGACACCGGUCCACGUGGAGCACGAGGAGGAGGUGCACCGCGAAGGUCGUGGUGCGCUCUCAACAUCUGCCGGGGGUCGUAGUGGGGGAAGACGGUGUCAGACUCUGUCAACUCCCUCUGCAAGUGAGCUGGCAGGGGCAGUGGCCUAGCACGAAGUAUAAGCAGGGUGAUCCAAUGUGCGUAGGGCAACUGACGCCGGCCCCUGAAGCUCUCUGAGAUGGUGUCCUCUAUCUCUGAGACAAUCAGAUCCCACAAAUCAAACUCUGUCUGGGAGAUGAGAUGAGCGACUAACCACUGCUGGAUGCGAGUGAAACCGUCUCUGUAGCCUGUCCUGGGGAGAAGGGUCUUCCUCAACACAAAGUCAAGGAUCCUGGCUGGGCGUGUCAAGUCUCCCACUGUCCUGCUGGAGCCCUCCCCAAAAGGUGCACGGAAGCAUGGAGCCACGAAGUCAACCGGUGGUAUCUCGCCACCGUGAGGCCGACGAGGGGGAUCCACGUUCCCGUAGCACAGCUGGUGAAUCCUGGUGGGAGAGGCUCGCAGUCCAAGCACCUGUCUGGCUAGCUGUGAUGUCACUCUGUAGUCGGUCCCUGCCAGUGCGUAGUGGAUAUAGCUGUGAUCUGGAGAAAUCCACACUGAUGCAUAGAACUCUCUGACCAACUGCUCACAAUAAGUACCGGGGAGCGCUAGCAGCUCUGGGAGUCCGUGGAGGUAAGUGAAAUACUGCCGAAUAUCUGCCCCGACCACGUUCCCGAGAAUCUCUAGGUCAAUCACCCUGUGCUCCCUGAACUGUGACUGAGAACGAACCAAUGCCUCGUGAAUGUCCUCCUGGACGACGGUGUAGAAGCGGGCACCGGCUCUAGAAUCCCUGGUAGCUGGAAACCAAGACGGAAACGGAACGAACCGCAGCUGCUGGAUCUCUCUGGCUGACACAAGAGUGAGAUCCCGGUGAAUCCUGACUGGCCUCUGGAGGGAAGCUGGAGUGCCUCUCGCCGGAGUGGCACGAGCUGUGGAGGUGGACUGACCCUGCGUACCAGUCCGGGGAGUAGGCUGAGUACGAGCACGAGUCGACCUCCGCAGUGUCUGCUCCUGCUCCUGUCCCUCUGCUGGACCCUCUGCCUGGGUCUCUGUCUCAGUGUCCGGACCCUCCUGAGCUGGAUCCCUAACCACGAGCCUGACCCUCUGUCCUCCAAUCGUCACAGUGCCUGGAGGGGAUCCAUGGAAAGCCUCUGCCUCAAGCACUGCACGCCUCUAACGCGGCGUAAGAUCAUCCCCAAUCCUCAAAGCACCUGCUCGACCACCUCUCUCUGCUGCCUCUGCUGCUGCUGCCACUGCCUCUGCGACCUCUGCAUCUCUGUCACUGGCCUUGCGCUUCUUGGUGGCCAGCUUCUUUCCCUUGCCUUUCUCUGCCGCUGAUAGGCGACGAGGAGGAUCACCUCCACCAUCGCCUCCUGGAGAACCUCCAGAGCCAGCUGUCGGACCACUGACGUUCUUGGUGCGAGCCAUUGCGAAACAAGAGUCCGACAAACAACCGACUAACAAUGGAGAUUAACGCGGAUCCGCGGACGAGAAGCGUUCCGAAAGAGAUGACACGAUCGGGAACUGCCGGAGAACGCGAAGCUCUUCCUUAAGGUGCUGCACAGGGUUAACGAAGAAGAUCGGAGUCAAAAACCCUUUUCUAAUCCGUUGAGACAAAAACUUAAACACCUUAGGGGCAGGGGUUUAGGGCCCAAAACCUAAGACUCGCGAGAAAACUUGAAUCUGCGCGAGGAAGAGAAAGGAGAAGAACGCGGGGCGGAUCUGGGCGCCGGGGAGAACUUCCAAGAGCACCGGGAUCCGGCGAACGGACGGCGGCGGCGGGUUAGGUGGUCUAGGGCACGGGGGCGAACAGCGGCGGACCGGGAAGGAAGAAGAAAACCGCCCGUGAAACCCUCUGGGCGCGGGCUUUAUGCGCCAGCCGCGGGGUCACCGGACGCUCUUUAUGUGGCACCGGACGCGUCCGGUGACCACCGGACUCAUGCGCAGAGAGGUUUGCAAAACGGUAUUGCACCGGACGAUGGGCACCGGACGCUGGCUUUAGCGUCCGGUGCUUCAGGUCAUGCCAGGUGGGCACCGGACGCACCGCACCGGACGCUACAGGGAAACUGUUUCUGCGUCCGGUGAGUGCAAUCUAGCACACUCACCGCACCGGACGCACAGAGGCAGCGUCCGGUGCAUCGUCCGGUGCUCCUCUGAGCACUUUUUCAACUAAGCACCUCGUCCGACUUUGACCCAACCAAGUUCCAUUUCCAAAAGCACACACUUAAACACAAAAUGGAACUGGUAUGAGUGACUUCUCUCAAACCCUCAAAUUUUCACAAAUAUUUAGCCAUAGGCUUAGUAGUUUUUAUGAAAAUAGUUCGAGAAAAACACCAAGGAGCAUCGUAUGGCCAUAAAGCUAGGGGUUUGAAUCAUAAUGAGCUUUGAAUGCUCCCCCUAUCUAUGGACGAACACAGCGGAUGCUCAACGAGUAACCGAAAAUAAACGGUUAACCAACAAGCGUGCAUAUGAAAUGAGUUGUAAUGCAAUACUUGAAAGUAAACUAAACUUGUCAAAUUUGAUCCAAGGUUAAGCUUUUUCACACACUCAAGGGGGUUAUCUUAACCAUGUUAGACAAGCCCUACAUGCAAGUUGGAUUUUAGAUUUAGUAUGCAUGAAAUGCAAAGCAAAAGUUAUUUACAAGAUUCAACACACAACUUUUAUCUUUUAGUGAAGUUGGACAUGUCAAGCACAUUAAGUUCAUUUCUCAACAUGCAAAACCUAGCUUCAUCUAGGGGUUUUGUGAAGAUAUCCGCCAAUUGAUUUUCCGUUCCCACAUUCUCUAGAGAUAUGUCACCUUUAGCAACGUGGUCCCUAAGGAAGUGGUGGCGGAUGUCAAUAUGUUUUGUGCGAGUGUGUUGAACCGGGUUGUUUGCAAGUUUUACGGCACUUUCGUUAUCACACAACAAAGGUACUUUGUCUAGUACUACUUCAUAGUCUAGCAAAGUUUGUUUCAUGUAGAGUAUUUGUGCACAACAAGCAUCAGUGGCUAUGUAUUCCGCCUCGGCCGUUGACAAAGCAACACUAUUUUGUUUCUUUGACAUCCAAGAGACAAGUGAUCUACCUAGGAAAUGGCACCCUCCGGAUGUGCUUUUUCUAUCAAUCCGGCACCCGGCAUAAUCCGAAUCGGAAUAGCCUACAAGUUGGAAUCUUGCACCUUUGGGAUACCACAAGCCUAGGCAAGGUGUGUAUUUUAGAUACCUAAGAAUUCUCUUGACGGCAAUCAAGUGAGAUUCCAUAGGCAUUGCUUGAUAUCUUGCACACAUACACACACUAAACAUUAUAUCGGGCCUAGAUGCGGUGAGGUAGAGUAGACUUCCUAUCAUGGAGCGAUAGAGAGUCUUGUCAAUAGGGUUACCUCCCUCAUCCAAGUCGAGAUGCCCAUUUGAUGCCAUGGGAGUCUUGAUUGGCUUGCAAUCCAUCAUCUUGAACCUCUUGAGAAGAUCUUGAGUGUACUUCUCUUGGGAGAUAAAGACUCCUUCCUUCAUUUGCUUGACUUGAAAUCCUAGGAAGAAGGAUAGCUCGCCAAUCAUGGACAUCUCAAACUCCUUGGACAUCAAAUCACCAAAUUCCUUGCAAAAAUCUUCAUUAGUAGAGCCAAAAAUAAUAUCAUCAACAUAAACUUGGCAAAUGAAGAUUUCCCCAUUCAUUUUCUUGGUGAAGAGUGUUGUGUCAACUUUCCCAAUCUUGAAGCCCUUCUCAAUGAGGAAGUCCCUAAGCCUCUCAUACCAAGCUCUAGGAGCUUGCUUGAGACCAUAGAGAGCCUUGGACAACCGGUAGACAUGCUUGGGGUACCUAGGGUCUUCAAAACCAGGGGGUUGCUCAACAUAGACAAGCUCAUUAAUAUAACCAUUUAAAAAGGCACUUUUCACAUCCAUUUGAAAUAAUUUGAUAUCAUGACUUGAUGCAUAUGCAAGUAGGAUACGGAUUGCUUCAAGUCUUGCCACCGGUGCAAAGGUUUCACCGAAGUCAAGACCUUCCACUUGUGAAAAGCCUUUUGCCACAAGUCUUGCCUUGUUGCGCACCACUUUGCCUUGAUCAUCCUUCUUGUUCCGGAAGACCCAUUUUGUUCCAAUCACUCUUGCAUGUUUGGGUCGCUCUUCAAGUGUCCAAACUUGAUUGCGAGAGAAGUUGUUCAACUCCUCUUGCAUGGACAUGAUCCAAUCCGCAUCACGAAGAGCUUCCUCUAUAGUCUUUGGUUCAUCUUCAAGAGACACAAAAGCGUGAUGUUCAAUAAAUAAAGCAUGUCUAGAACGAGUAGUUACACCACGUGAUGGACUCCCGAUGAUGAGAUCUUGAGAGUGAUCUUGGAGGAGAUGUGAUGUUCUUUUUGGUGCCACUUGAGGGGUUGGUUGAGGAGCAUCAACAUCUUGUGCUUGUGCCACCACUUGCUCAUGAGUGACUUGGGUGUCUUCAUGAGCAUCUCUCACAUCCUUGUCUUCAUCUUGUGGACCUUGUGAGGUGGAUGGUGGCUCAAUGACUUGCACAUCAUCAUCAUCUUCUUUAGGCUUGAUGUCUCCUACCGGCAUGUUCUUCAUGGCAUCCCUCAAUGGUUCACCACCUACAUCAUCAAGAUUAUCACUUGCUCCUUGGGAGCCAUUAGUUUCAUCAAAUUCAACAUCAAAUGUUUCUUCAACCAUGUUUGUGGCAUGGUUAAAGACCCUAUAUGCUUUGGAUUUUGAUGAAUAGCCAACCAAGUAGCCAAUGUCACAUCUUCUUUGGAACUUUCCCAAGUGUUGGCGCUUCUUGUAGAUUUAGCACUUGCACCCAAACACUCUAAAGAAUGAGACAUUGGGCUUCUUCCCAUUGAGCAACUCAUAUGGUGUCUUCUCUAGGAACUUGUGAGGAAAGAGCCGGUUUGAAGCAUAGCAUGCCGUGUUGAUUGCCUCGGCCCACAUCUUCUCCGAAGUGUUAUACUCAUCUAGCAUUGUUCUUGCCAAGGUGAUCAAUGUCCGGUUCUUUCUUUCUACAACCCCAUUUUGUUGUGGUGUGUAUGUUGAGGAGAACUCAUGCUUGAUUCCCACUUCAUCACAAUAUUCUUCAAUGUUGGUGUUGUCAAACUCUUUGCCAUUGUCACUUCUAAUUUUCUUGAUCUUCACAUCAAAUUGAUUUUGAGCAUUCUUUGCAAACUUCUUGAAUAUUGAUGCAACUUCGACCUUGUCUUGCAAGAAGAAUGUCCAAGUGUACCGGGAGAAGUCAUCAACUAUGACCAAGCAAUAUUUGUUGCCUCCAAGACUAGCAUAUGUUGUUGGUCCAAACAAGUCCAUGUGAAGUAGCUCAAGCACUCUUGAAGUAGAGAGAUAGGCUUUGGUUGGAUGAGUGUUUGCAACUUGUUUGCCCGCUUGACAUGCACUACAAAGUUUGUCCUUUUCAAAUGUCACAUCCUUCAAGCCUCUAAUCAAUUCUUUCUUCAUCAACUUCUUGAGUGUGCCCAUUCCAACAUGUGCUAACCUUCUAUGCCACAACCACCCAAGUGAAGUCUUGGUGAAUAAGCAAGUCUUGACAUUAACUUCAUUUGAUGAGAAGUCAACCACAUAUAAGUUGUUGUGCCGGAAGCCUUUGAAUAUCACUUCAUUGUCAUCUUCCUUGGUCACAAUUACUUCCUUCUUCUUGAAUAGGCAUUCAAAUCCAAGAUCACAAAGUUGUCCAACCGAGAGCAAGUUGAAACUCAAAGAUUGCACAUAGAGCACAUUGAUGAUGGAGUUGUCAUUUGAAAUAGCAACCUUUCCUAGUCCCUUGACUUUCCCUUUUGAAUUGUCACCAAAUGUGAUCUUCUCUUGGUUGUCAACAUCUUCAUCAAGAGAGGUGAACAUCCGGGGAUCUCCGGUCAUAUGUUGAGUGCAACCACUAUCAAUUACCCAAUGUGAUCCAUCGGUCUUGUAGUUCACCUACACACAAGAGAUCAAGCUUGAGAUUUAGGGACCCACAUUUGCUUAGGGCCCUUCGCAUCAAUAUCUUCUCUACUAGUUGCUUUGGCACCCAAAUCUUCUUUGGCCUUUGCUUGUUUGGUGGCCCCAUGAAGCUAACCUUGACCUUGCCACACUUGUCUUUCCUUACAAUGUAAUGAGCAUUGAAGGCAAAUGGUCUUGCAUGCUUGGGCAAGGGUGGUGGUAGUGGUGCCUUACACUCAUGAGCAAAAUGUCCUUCUUGACCACACUCAAAACAUCUCUUUGGCUUUGGCUUGCUUGGUUGAUCAUGAGUGGCUAGUGACUUGAUGAGCUUCGUUUGAUGAGCCUUGUAGCCAAUCCCACUCUUGUCCAUCUUCAUGACGGUGUUCAUGAAAAGCUCACUUUGAAGGUCCUUCCCUUUUGUGAACUUUGCUAACCCCAUGGUUAGGUGUUCCUUCUCUUUCUUGAGCUUGUUGUUCUCUUGAGUUAGCUUCUUGAUGAUUGGGUCAUUGUUGCUUGCUAACUCAUCCAAGAUGAAUAUCUCAUCUUCUUCUUGCUUGUCAUACAUCAAACCAAGCUUGAGAUAUUGAUUUUCUUCUUUGAGUAACUUGUUCUCAUAUGCAAGUUUCUUGUCUUGAUCAAGUGACUCAAUCACAAUGGUCUUGUGCUUGGAUUGGUCUUGCAACUCUUUCUUGAGCAUGACAAUUUCAUCCUUGAGCUUGAUAGUGUCCUCAUAACUCUCGGCCACUACCACUUUCUUGCCCUUGCAAUCAACACAUUUGCUUGUGCUCUCCACAAGUAAGUCAUCACAAGAUGUGGCUACAUCAAGCUUAGCAACAUUGUUAGUAGCAACAUGUGUUUCAUCAAUUGCAAGUUCAUAAGCAAUCUCAAGGUUGUCAUAGUUUGCUUUUAGAGUUGUUAGUUCUUCUUUCAUUGUUCUAUAUCUAGUGAUAAGCUCAUCAUGAACACUCUCAAGUUUAUCAUGUUUUUCUUUGAGCUCUUUUAAAGAGAGUUUGAGCUCCUUGAGCUUAGUGGUCAUGAUCUCAUUUUGUUCUCUAAGCUCAUCACUAGAGUUAAGCUUUGCUAGAAGUGUAUCAUUUUCAAGUUCAAGCUUUUCAUUUUCACUUCUAGUCUUUCUUAUGACUUUUGUGUAUUUGUUUAGCAAUUUUACAAGUUCAUCAUAAGAGGGUGAUUCAUAUUCACUAUCACUUUCACUACUCUCAUCCUCACUUUGUACCUUCCGGUCACCUUUGGCCAUAAGGCAUAGGUGUGUAGAGGAUGUAGAUGGUGGUGAAGAUGAUGGUGAUGGAGCAUCGAUGGCGAUAGCGGCAACCUUCUCAUCAUCACUUUCAUUUCCGGAGGAGUCACCACUUGAGCUUUCAAUGUCGGUGAGCCAAUCACCAACAAUAUAAGCCUUGCCAUUCUUCUUCUUGUAGUGCUCCUUCUUCUUGCCACCUUUCUUCUUGUAUUGCUUCUUGUCAUUUUUCUCAUCAUCACUUGAGUCAUCUUGCUCUUUGUUCUUCUUCUUGUACUUGUCCUUCUUGGGCUUUGGACAAUGAUGAGCAAAAUGACCAAGCUCACCACAAUUGUAGCAAUCCAUCUCGGAGAUGGGCUUUCUCUUGCUACUUGUGAAGAACUUCUUCUUCUUGGAGUCAAAGUUAACUCCAUUCUUGUUGAGCUUCUUCAACAUCUUGGUGGUUCUUCUCACCAAGAGGGCAAUAGAUGCAUCAUCAUCACUUGAAGUUGAUGACUCAACUUCAAUCUUCUUGGCUUUGCCCUUGUGAGAAGCUUUAAGAGCAAAGUCCUUCUUUUCUUUCUUGGCCGACGAGGAGCCAUCUUGAGGGUUCAUGUGCAUGUACAUCUCAUGAGCAUUGAUCUUUCCCAAUAUGGUGGUUGGUGUAGCGGUGGAAAGAUCGCCUUGAUGAAGCACGGUUACUAUGUGCCCAUAUUUCUCAAUGGGAAGCACACAUAGUAUCUUCCUUGCUACAUCCGCCGUACUCAUUUGUGUAAGCCCAAGUCCAUUGAGCUCCUCUACAAUGACAUUCAAGCGAGAAUACAUUUCAUUAGCAUUUUCUUUAGGAAGCAUUUCAAAAGUAUUAAGCUUGUUCAUCACUAGGUGAUAGCGUUCCUCGCGUUCACUCUUUGUUCCCUCAUGGAGCGCACAAAGUUCCUUCCAAAGUUCAUUGGCGGUUUUAUGGCUCCGAACGCGGUUGAACACUUCUUUGCAAAGGCCUCUAAAAAUGUGGUUUUUGGCCUUAGCAUUCCACUUCUCGUUUUCUUGCUCUUGUGGAGUAAGAGCGGUGGCUCUUUCCGGAGGGGCAAACCCUUCGGUCGCGGCUUUUAGGCACUUUACAUCGCAUGCCUCAAGGUAUGACUCCAUCCAUAUUUUCCAAUACGGGAAGUCAUCCCCAUCGAACAUGGGUGGCGGUCCAUCCCCGUGAGACAUCUUUCUCUAGGCGGUGAAGCCUAAGAAUGAGCACUAGGCUCCGAUACCAAUUGAAAGGAUCAAGAUGCCCAAGAGGGGGGGUGAAUUGGGCUUCUCUAAAAAUUUAAGCAACCUAUAAGUUCCAAUUCAACCCCUUGUGCCUAGUGUGACUUAAAGAUCUACCGGAUAAAAGUUUUGCAACCUAGUUCCGAUCCUAUUCUAGCAUGGCAAUUCUAAGAAUGUAAAAGCACAAAGUAAAUGCUAGAAAGUAAAGGAGUAGUGGAAGAAAAUGCUCGGCGAUGUUUUGCCGAGGUAUCGGAGAGUCGCCACUCUCCACUAGUCCUCGUUGGAGCACCCGCGCAAGGGUCUUGCUCCCCCUUGGUCCGCGCAAGGACCAAGUGCUCUCUACGGGCUGAUUCUUCGACACUCCGUCGCGGUGAAUCGCCCAAAACCGCUCACAAGCUUGACACGAGCCACCCACAAGAACUCCGGGUGGUCUUCGUGCCUCCAAUCACCACCGAACCGUCUAGGUGAUGGCGAUCACCAAGAGUAACAAGCAAAGAACUCUCACUUGACCCAAACAAGGCACUAGAGAGUGGUGGAUGCACACUUGACUCUUGGAACUCACUAGAGAAGGAUUCUCUCAAGAAAUCACUCAAUUCUCAAUCCUCUCUAGGCUCUUGCAACUCUCUUGCUCCACAAACAAGUUUCUCUGAUGUUCAAAUGGGCAAGAGAGCUCUCAUGGACGAGGUGGAGGAGUAUAAAUACUAUCCACCAAGUCCAAAGGUCGGCCAACCGUUUUCCACUGAAAACGGGGUCACCGGACGCACAUUAUGUUGCACCGGACGCACUGCACCGAGCGUCCGGUGCUUCAUAACGGCUACCUGCUCUUUUCUCUGACAGGUCACCGGACGCUAACUCUCAGCGUCCGGUGCACCGUCCGGUGCUCGGGGAAACUUUACACGCUCCCUGCGCAUGGGACCGGACGCUACCCGGUGCGUCCGAUGCUAGCGUCCGGUGCUCAGGGGAACUUUGCAAGCUCCCUUGGUAAGGGACCGGACGCUGCCCGGUGCGUCCGGUGCCAGCGUCCGGUGCCUAACCCUAAGCACCAAACUGUUCCAACGGCUAAGGACCUCACCGGACGCACUCACAGAGCGUCCGGUGCAGCGUCCGGUGCCCCUUUGGGCACCAAACUUCGUCGAAACGCGAUCGCUCGAACACGAAGUUUGUUCCUCUCGAUCUAAGGACUAUCUCUGAGCUGCCUAGUGCUAGGUUUACCAAGUGUGCACCACACCUAAACCUAAUGCCUUGCCUAAGUCAAGCUACUAGAUCAAAGCCCCUCUUAACAGUACGGUCAAAGGAAAACAAAGUCCUAAACUACUCUAAGUGCCCUUCUUCACCAUAUGGCACUUAGACCUAGUCUAGUCUUGACGAUGUCCAUCCAUCCUUUGAAAACCGAAACGAUUUCCACUAUUAAGUAGGCAUGUACGUCCCUGUCCAUCGAGUACCUAUAUACCAUGACUUUACCUAUGACUUUGCCUCUGCAAAACACACGUUAGUCAUAGUAAUCAAUAAUGUCAUUAAUCACCGAAAUCACUAGGGGCCUAGAUGCUCUUUCACAAACUUUCUCACAGAAACUAGAGUUGGUAGGGGUUAAUUCUGUAGGCAUGCAAAAAAUGGGCCCUAAGAAUAUUGAGGACAUUUUGAAAGUGCUGGAGGAUCCAAAAUACAAAGAUGCAGCAUAAUUACAAAUAUGGUUCUCGCUAGAGAUUCAGGAUACAAUGGAUGUAAAUUACCUCUAAAUAUCGUUAAUUUAUUUUGUUUAAUUGAAAUGUGUGGCUUUUGUUCAUCUGAUAGUGCAACUUAGUCUAAACUUUCUCAAUUUUUUUAUAGCUUCCACAUGUGAUAACAUUAAACCUCAAAAAGUUUUGUGAUUUUUUGACUCUUUUUGCUAUAUUUCAUUAAUUAAUUUCUUUAAAUUGAUUUUUCCGCUACAUAAUUCUACUUUGAACUACAGUUGCAUGAAAUAAUGAAACCUAGGCAUUCGAAAAAUGAUAUUCAUGUCGAAUAAUGUAUUUUUAGACCAUAUCCAAAAACUGACCCAAAAUUUUGAAGUCUUUGUCCACAGAACAUGAUUAUCCAAGUGCAGUACAAGUGAUUUUUAAUUAUAUAAAACUCAAUCGAAAUCAGAAAAUUACCAAACUUGUUGAGGUGCCAUGUUAUCACAUGGGGAGCCUAUGAUAAAAAUUUGAAAAAUUUUAGAGCAAAUUGUGAUGUCAGAUGUACAAAACCCAAACACUUCAACAUAUGACCAUAUGUGAUCAUAUUGGAAAUGUUUGGAUUUUGUUCAUCUGAUACUGCAACUUACUCUAAACUUUCUAAAUUUUUUUUGUAGGUUCCACAUGUGAUAGCAUUAAACCUCAAAAAGUUUUGUGAUUUUUUGACUAUUUUUGCUAUAUUUCAUUAAUUACUUUCUUUAAAUUGAUUUUUCCGCUACAUAAUUCUACUUUGAACUAUAGGUGCAUGAAAUAGUAAAACCUAGCCAUUUGAUAUUCAUGUUGAAUAAUAUAUUUUUAGACCAUAUCUAAAAACUGAUCCAAAAUUUUGAAGUCCUUGUCCACGGAACAUGAUCAUCCAAGUGUGGUAGAAGUGAUUUUUAAUUAUAUAAAACUCAAACGAAAUAAGAAAAUUACGAAACUUGUUGAGGUGUUAUGUUAUCAUAUGAGGAGCCUAUGAUAAAAAUUUUAAAAAAAAUUGAAGCAAGUUGUGAUGUCAGAUGUAUAAAACCCAAACACAUCCGCAUGUGAUCACAUGUGAUCAUAUGUAGAGGUGUUUGGGUUUUGGACAUUCGACGUUGCAACUUCCUUAAAACUUUCUCAAACUUUUAUCAUAGGCUUCACAUGUGAUAACAUGACACCUCGUCAAGUUUCGUAAUUUUCCGACUUUGUUUGAAUUUUAUAUAAUUAAAAACCACCUAUACCACACCUAGAUGGUCAUGUUCUCAAACUUUUGGGUGAGUUUCUGAAAACGACCUUAAAAUAGACUCUCCAACAUGAAUAUCAUUUUUUGAAUGACUAUGUUUCAUUAUUUGAUGCACCUGCAGUUCAAAGUAGGAUUCUACGGUGGAAAAUACAAUUAAAGAAAUUAAUUAACAAAAUAUAGCAAAAAGGGUCACAAAAUCACGAAAGUUUUUAAGGUUCACUCUUAUUGCAUGUGGAGGCUAUGAAAAAAAUUUGAGGAAGUUUGGAGCAAGUGAUGACGUCAAAUGUCCAAAACCUAAAUUCAAACUUCAAAAAUAAAAAAAUUUAUCUUUGCCGACUGCCUAACGGCCUGGCAGGUGGCAAAGGGAACGGCGAUGGACGUCGUUAGUGCCCCGCCACCUUUGCCACCAGCUUUUCUUUGCCACCUGCCAGGCAGUCGGCAAAGGACGUCUUUGCCGACUGCUUUUCUUUGCCACCUGCCAGGAUAGUUGGACAGUCGGCAAAGAAUCCUUUGCCGACUGCUUUUAGAAGCAGUCGGCAAAGAGAAUGUUUGCCGACUGCUACGUCUUUGGCAGGUGGCAAAGUAUUUUAGCAGUCGGCAAAGCCCAAUUUUCCUGUAGUGAAUAGACCUGUAAAAGCCCACAUUACAUCAACGGUGCGAGAAUGCAGCACAUAGACAAAUAUUUUAAACAACAAUAGUAGCUUAAUAUUACAAGGUAUAAUGGAAGGGAUGGUAAUGUUUGUCAAAAUAGCCCAGAAUCUCAUAUAUCGUCCUUGUCAUGCAGGAUAACAGGUAGCCAGUUUCACCACUUGUCGGUUUACGCCUGGAAAAAGGGGCAUGAAUAGAAGAUCGCCUUAAAUGAAUGAUUAGCUGGACAUAAAGCACAAAAGCAUUACUCCAUACCAUCAAAGUAAUAAACUGUUUUAGGAUCACUACUAGUUUUCACCAUUACUAUAAAACAUUUUCGUAGAUUUGCGACAUGACACAUUGUCGAAAUAAGUGCCUGUUAGUGGAUAUACUCAGAAAAAAGGUACAAAUUAAUCUGUAAAUAUUUUAGUAUCCAUUUCUCCAACAACAUACAGACUCAUUGUCAGUCAUUAUGCAAACAGCUCUGUGUAUCUGAAGUCAAACACUUGAAGCUGAAAUCUCACAAGUAGGGUUCAAAAUUUCGACGAAAUUUCGCUAAAAUUUCACGAAUUUCGGUAAUUUCGAUGGUGGCUGAAAGAAAAAUCCGAAAUUUCAUUAUAUACGAAUACAUGUGCUAUAUAACUUUAGACUCAUAUUUUUUAUUGUUUAUAUUGCAUAUUCUUCUAUUCAAUAGAUGUGUAAUCAUAAAUCAUACUGAUAUUUGUUUAGAUCUAAUUUUUUAAAAAGAAAAACAUACUUCAUGUGCUAGUCUCUAAAAAAAUUUCAGCGAAAUUUUGGCCGAAUUUCAUGAAAUUCGGUAAUUUCGGUGGUGGCCGCAAUUUUUGCGAUACCGAAAUUAAAAACCUUGCUCACAAGUAUCAAUAAAUCACAGCAAAGAAAGAAAAGCACACAAAUAGCAUGUGAAUUGCAACGCACAGCAACAAAAGAAAAGCUAUCCUAGACCAGGGGAAAGGAACAGCCCUCUAUAUUGGAAGCUUGGAAUUCAUAAUUCAAACUUUCUUUUACCAAACUUGGUAUAGGAAACAAGGGAUGAAGGACUACCUCAUUAUGGUGGAACUUGCUCUUCAUGUUUUAAUCCAUGGACAACCCUCUAUAUCCGGUCUGAAUACUAUUCCCCUGCUCCUGUAAGCACACAAUGCAAAAAAUUAACAGCUAUAGGCCCAAAGUACAAGACUAAUGGUAGCGAGACCCAAAGUACAAGACUGAUGGUAUCAGGAAAGGGUGUAGAAAGGAAAUGAAGCAAAAUACACCUAGCCACAUACCACGGAUUACGAAUGCAGCAGCUGAAGACGUACAGGACGAGGGGACUAGGUCCUGGUGCACGGCCAAACAGGCUGCAAUUAUCGACUGCCGUUGACAAGCUGUCACUACCGAGGUGGUAUUGCACAAUCCUGCUGCCAGUGAAGUAGACAACAUUGUCACCCUUGAACGUAUGCAGUAUCUUGGAGGAAACACUUAUGUUCCUCUGUUCCAUGAACAAGGUAUUGCCUCCGAGGCUUUUUAUUGGGACAAACCUUUGCAGCGCAAGGUCUGCUAGUUUGUAAACAAAGAUUUGCGUCCCAUAUAAAUCAGAGUAGUCGUUACCAAGCACCAGGAUCUCUGAACCACAUUCUACCAGGCCUAAAUUAGGAUAGGGGAUCUUGUCUUCAGGGACUGUGGCAAUCAGCUCUGGCGGUGGCAGCACCCGACCUCCGCCCACCCCAUCCUGCUGCACAGGUGGGUUGAUCUGGAGGACCUGGUGUACAUCUUCUCCGAAGGGAGUGUGCAGCACGUACAGCUUGCCUUGGAACGACAAUGGAAACCCCAUUUCGUGUUCCCAGCUCGACAGUGUCCAUUGCUGGUCCAGGGGGGUAGCAAAGGCCGCACGGCCUACCUCAGGAAGUGCAAGCGUGACGGUCAUGGCUCCGGCGGCGUCGAAGGAAACGGAAGCGGAGACGAUUCUUGCAAGCUUCCUGAUCCUGUACUCAGGAGGACAGCCGUGGAGCUGCGGGCCCAGGUGCGGGAGGAGCGUCCCUAGGGGUGGAAGCUCGGCGAAGUCACCGGUGAAAGGGUGGAGGAGGCGGACGGCGCCGCCGUAGUCCGGGUCCGGGUCCCGCACCAGCAGCAGGAGGCCGUCGAUCGAGUCGACGGCCCAGUAGCUGUCGCCGAGGAGCGGGACGUGGGCGCGGACCAGGGCACCCGUGUCGAGGUGGAGGAACCGGGCGCAGCCGCCCAGGUCUGGGUGGCCGGGGUAGAUGCGGUGGCCCUCGGGAAACAUCAUCCAGCGCCGCGGGUGGAAGCGCCGGUCGGCCAGGCCGCGGCCGCGCGGGGAGUCGGCGCCGGAACGCCAGCUGGUGCAGACGGCUCGCAAGCGGACGUAGUCCAGCAGGUCGCCGCAGGCCAGCACGCGCCACGCCACCGCGCGGAUCAGAUCUUCGGGCAGCAACGCCCAGUAGCGAGGCCCGAUGUCCCAGGUGCGGCGGCGGCGCCGCCGGAGGUGACGACAUCUUGCUUGAGUUCGUCGAUCUGAUCCGAUCCGAUCCUGCCCCCCCCCCCCCCCCCCCUUGUGAUCGCCGAUCCACCAAGACGGCAAUCGGGACAGAAAGAGAAGAACGCAGGAUUGAAAUUCUCGCUUACGCGAUCCUCGAAUCAAACCUCAAAGCAUGGUGACCGAUCGAUCGGUUGGCCGGCCGGCGCGGCGCGGUGCGAGGGAGAAUUGCAGGGCGACCAACAGUGACAAACCCUAAAUCAGAAAUGGCCCAGGCUACUAGGCCUUAACGGUAGAAUUUGGGGAAGGGAGCUAGCUAGAUGAGAUCGAGGUGGCGUCCGGCAAGCCAGCAGGUAGGCUGCAUUCUGGUCAUCCCCACCGCCAAGUGAGCCAAAUCUCAGCCUAGAGGCUUGUUUAGUUCCAAGUUUUAAAGUUUUAGAGUAUCACAUCGUUAUAUAGAGGUGUUGUGUGUGGUAUUUAGAUAUUAAUUAAAAAAACAAAUUACAAAAUCUGUUAGUAAACCACGAAAUAAAUUUAUUAAGUCUAAUUAAUCUAUCAUUAGCACAUAUAUUACUGUAGCACUUUAUUAUCAAAUCAUAGACUAAUUAGGUUUAAAAGAUUUGUUCGCAAAGUAGUCGCAUAUAUGUGCAAUUAGUUAUUUUUUUAAUCUAUAUUUAAUGCUUCAUGCAUAUGUCAAAACAUUUGAAGGAAUGUGAUGUAAACUUUUGGAGAGGAACUAAACAAGGCCUAAGUAUUUUUCUUUUUGAACCUAGGAUUUUCAUAACUUAUGUGCUCACAAUCGGCAGCAACCAUUACAACAAUCAGAAAUAGAGUUCGAAAUGAUCUCAUUGUCUUCAGCACAGUUAUACCCCCAAAUUAGCCAACUCGUGGGCUACUGUAUUACAUUGUCUGGAGCACACACUUCAAACUGAAUGAAAUUGGUAGAGACUUUAAAACUUCAACUCGGGCCUUGUUUAGUUCCUGAAAAAUUUUGCAAAAUUUUUCAGAUUCCCCGUCACAUCGAAUCUUUAGACGUAUGCAUGGAGUAUUAAAUAUAGAUGAAAAUUAAAACUAAUUAUACAGUUUGAUCGAAAUUGACGAGACGAAUCUUUUGAGACUAGUUAGUUUAUAAUUGAACAAUAUUUGUCAAAUACAAACGAAAGUGCUACUAUUCCUAUUUUACAAAAUUUUUUGGAAGUAAACAAGGCCUCGUUCACCAAGCCUUCCUCUGGUCUGUCAUAGGCUUCGACUAAAUUCAGUGCGUGAACGACCAACAGAGCAUCGGACUCCAGAAUCAGCCUUUCAAUACUAAGGUUUAACGCUGUGUGCAUCCCCUGAAGGCAGGCUAUCACUUCGACGUGAAAAGCAAUGAGUAGAUGACUAACUCUUCCUCUUCCUGUUGUUACUAUAUAUAUCUCCAUCGCUGUCUCUGAUAACAAAGCCCCAACUGCCUGUGUCGCCGCCAGCUCGGAACGAAGUGUCACAGUGUAGUUUUUAACACUCCAUUCGGUGGUUUGUUACAUUGGCCUGGCAAAUUCGCAAUUCAUUUGGAGUAUAUGCAAUAGUACUACUAACAUUGUGUUAAGCGUCACGCGGUCUAUACAUAAGUGACUCCUGACUCGCAAACUCUAACGUACAAAUUACAGGAUAGAACCAGUGGCUGCAACAGAACGUGUCAUGCUAGACAGCCUAGACUGAGGCUGCUACUGGCUCCGGCGCGUCCGUUGGGCGGUGGGAACUCUCCGGCGAGGUGAAGAAGGGCGACACACACCAUCGCCUGCUGCGGCGGCUCGUCCAUCCCAUCGCUCUCUUCCUUGUGCGCGACCCGCCUCUCGUCGUCGGAGUCCGCGGCGGAGCUUGGCCGAGGACGGCCGCGGAGGCAUGACCAUGAGGCACGGCGGCGGGAGCUGCGGCGAGGCCGCCAUCGUCCGCGGGCUCUCGGUCGUCCUAGGAGGCAUCGAGAGCAGCACCCCCGGGAGACGUGCGUGCGCCACGGCGAGGUGCGCCGCAGGCCGCCGUCUCGCCAUGAUGACGAGGGAUCGAGAGAGAGGCGCCGCCGCACCAGCAGGAGCGCCGCAAGCCACCGACGACAUCGGAAGAAGAAGCGGAGAGGCCAGGUGCAUCAUGUCGUAGUACGUUAUGGGAUUAUAUUGAGUGAUUAACAGUUACUUACUACUAGUUCCUAUUGGGCACAAAGUAGGUCCAAGAGUUGCAACGUAUAAAUAAUGAGCUCAGUCAGCUAUGUAAAACUUUGGAUCAAACAGAAAUUCCAUCAGUGUUAUAAAAAAAUUAGAAGAUGCAAUCAUAUAGGCACACAAAGACAUGUCGGCCAAAAUUAGGGGAAUAAAACGACAAUUAACAGUUUGGUCCAAGAGUGACAACUAUAAACCAUGAGCUCAGUCAGCUCUGUAUCACUUUGAAUCAAACAGAAUUUUUGGUGUUACAAAAAUCAACAGAAGCAAUCAUAUAUAUAUGCACACAAAAGACAUAUAUAGUGUCAGGACUCAGGAAGGGCAGUUUCUAAAAACGUACUGUACAGGCUCUCUAACAUGCCGGCAGUUGUGAUCCUCGGAGCAUCUCCAACAGUUAUGUAAUUGGACUUUGCAUUCUUGAAAUUUGUCAAAAACCUCAAAAAUGGCUCCCCAACAGUUUUGCAUUUGACUUAUGCAUUUUGGCAAACUUAGCAUUUGAUAGACCAAACUUAGCAUUUUUGCAUAGGCAUAAUGACUUGGCAAUUUUGAUAUCCCUAGAAUCUUGGAAUCUUGGACUUCUUGUUGUGCCCGCACUCACCACGUCGGUUGUUUCCCGCGAUACGAGUCCUCAUCGCGCGCGUUUAUUCCCUUCCCCCCGCGCCGCCUUCUAUUUUCUGCGCGCCGCCUCCGUCUCUUGCAGCGACGCACGAGGCUACGCGAGAUCGAUCUUCGACGCGCGGGGUAGGAGAUCGAGCGCAGCGACUGGUUUUGUUGCAGCGACGAGAAGGGUAGGAGAUCGAACAGCCCAAUGCCUAUCGUCCGCCAGCGUCGCCAGAUGCCGCAACCUCACCCUCCCGCUCGACCACCUCCGACGUCCGCCGAGAAAUUAGGACGCGGACGACACGGACGCGCGACGCCUGAGACAAUUGGCGGCGACGUGCGAACGAGUUGCACGCGACGGGCGCCCGCGCGACGCGCAAGAAAAGUUACCGCAAAUAUGAAAGAUUCCCGAACAAAAAUAGCUGGGUCCACUAUUUUGGAAAAUGUCAAGUCAAAAAUGACAAACACUUGGAGAUGGACUUAUUUUUCCUUUGGCAAAAGGUUUAGGGACUUGGCAAAUUUCAACAAAUGACAAAUUUCAAUUGCAUAACUGUUGGAGAUGCUCUUAAUCGCUUGCAUUUGCCAAACCAACCAUCUUGGGCAUGUUCCGGUCCUCCUUAAAUCUCUCAAGGACCGUCCCCUUGACAAGCUCUGGUUUUUCAUCUCGUGCAUUCAUUUGUAUUCCCCAACAUUCAGUAACUUCUUGGCUGAAUCUGUUUGUCUUGGAAAGGGAGGGCUUUGUAAACAACAAUUCUACAAGUAAAUGAGUGCCCUUGAUCGAUAUUUGCAGAUAAAAAGAGUCCGAAAUGGUGUGGCUCCCCUCCAAAACUAAUAUCAUUAGGUAUCUUCUCAGACCUGAAGUUUAUAGCGUACUGCCAGGAUAAGCUAAUGAUGUAAGCUACUCCUUCCAAAUUGUAAGACAUUUUGGCUUUUCUAGAUACAUUGUUUUUACUAUGCAUCUAGAUAUAAUGUAUAUCUAAGUGCAUAACAAUAGCCAUAAAUCUAAAAGCCAAAAAGUCUUAUAGUUUGGAACCGAAGAAGUACCGUUUAUAAUUCUGGAGAUGCUGAGUCAAAAUACAAACGUGAAGAAAAGUAAAACAGAGCAGAUGCUUGAACUGAGCAAGGCAUACCCAUUGCAAAUUUUUGUUUGCUCAUGUUGGCCGGAAAAUGGAUGCUUGAGGAUAUAACUUGAAGAGGAAUGUCUUCAUGUCACCAUAAAAAAAAUUGAAAUAAAAUGUCACCAUAAAAAUCGUUGUGCCUUUCCCAAGGCUAGGAUGCAAAUCCACCAUAAACUGAUCCUUCUGUACCUUCAACAAUCAGAACAGUCUUACAUCUCCAUUCCUAUAAACACAAGAUACAUAUCCAAGAAUUGCAUAUAUAGUUCCAAAAGUUAUUAAUAUAGAAAGCAUAGGCUGUGAGAGGGCAAGUAUAAGGACUCUGAUGAAUCAUGAUAAUAGGUUGUUAAACCGACAAGCUUGUGCACAUUAUUAGCAAUGAGAACUGGCACUGGCAGUCAAAGAAAAUAACUGAAAUCAUGCAAUGAGGGUGGAAUUUUAAUUUCAGUAUGCCAUUUCCAUAUAUAAUAACACACCUUUAUAAUUAUGGACAAGUUGAAGUUCCACUUCAGAAGAUACGAUUUACAAAAUUGAUAAGUACUCACGUUACUUUGCCUAAGAAAGUGUUGAACCUUUGUCCAUGAAGAGAACUACGAUAUAGAAGCUUCCAUUCUUGCACCUCAUGUUGGGAAAAAGCAGCCUUCGAUAUGGCAGGCAUACACUUUAUUCAGAAGUACCAAUUAGUGGAUAUGUUUUGAGAAUUUUUAGGAUAAUGAAGCACUGGUACUUUAAACCCUGAUCUGCCUGCAAACAAACUAAAAUCUGAAAAAGCAUGACAUAAUACAUCAGAAACAUUAUGUACAGCAUAUGGUCAUCCCCAUUAGGGACUUAUCAUGUUGCAAUGUUUCAAAAAGAUUCAUAGGAGAACAUGUAUAACAAUUCACUUUUAAAUUCGUCCUAUAUUUCAAGAAAGGAAUAGGCAAGCAGUCGAUCUGAAAUUGUUCAUCAUGUGCUGACAGUUAUACUUGUGUUUUUUCAUAUCUCAACAUCAAAGAUGAAUACAGAAUUGAAUUUCUGCAGGUUUAUUCAACUUUGCAGAUACUGCAUAUACAUAGAGCCAUUUUAUAUUGUACUUUAAUGAUGAAAAUGCUGAAUUUAGGAGUACCGGCAGAAUGACAAGAAUAAGGCAUACCUGAAUCAGGUGGCAUCAACAAAUUCCCAAGGAAUUUCCUCAUUGAUGGCAAGAGGAUCACCAGUUCAUGAAGUCUGAUAUUGAUAUAACUUCUCUGAUACCCCUUCAACAUCCUUGGAAAAUACUGCAGAAUUGAGGAGUGCUUCAAAUGUUCUGUUGUUGUAACCUUCCCCAACUUCUUUGUUUUCUGUAAAUAUAGUUUCGUCCGAUUUUUACAACACCUUUCAUUUGAGUGCGCAACUGUCACUCAUAAAAUUCUGGUGCAGAAAUGAAAAGUUCAACCCCGAGUCCCCGACGUGAAAUGAUGUUACGGAAGUCAAUAAUACUAUUGUGAUGUACUAAGUAAAACAGAAGGGCAGAAAGAAGAUGAUGUAACUUUUGAUUAACAAUUGCCUGCUAUACUUUGCAUCACUUAUUAAUGCAAUUGUAACAGUUUAAAAAAAUACUUGUGCUGAACCAAGCAAAAACUAACGUCCGCUUGCGCCGAACCCAGCUCUAUGGCAGAGCACGUGCCUCUUCAUCUAUCUGUUGGCGGUGAGCACGGACCUCAACGACGACGAGACGCUGAGGACGCGCGUUGCGCGUUGGCAUGAGCUUCACUACAACAGCUACUCUGGCUAGGGUUCGUUCGCAGCCAAGAAGACAAGAAUCACGGACCUCGGCUUUUGGGGAAACAAUAACCAUCCACAUCUUGGGGAGAUUCGGCCGGAUAAGGCUGAGCUGAUUGCAAUACAACCUCUGUGACUAGUUGCCCGCCCAAAAUCCAAGAUUUACAAGCUCUUUUUUUUUACAAGAAGAAUCCUCAGCGAAUCUUGUUUGCAAAGGCUGGAUUUGUCCCCGCGCCGCUACUGCAGCUGCACAAGAACUGAAGGCUGCAGCUCCCGUGCCCAGCACGCACACCGAUGGUGUUCCACGGAACGCCUCACCGGGAAUCAUCGGGUCCGAACGUUCGGACCCGAUCGCUCUACCGAUGACGCACGGGAAUAGCUGAUAGUGCAGAUGACGCGCGGGAAUAGCUGGUAGUGCCGAUGACUGGUAGGCGGGAAUAGCUAGGCACGGGUAAAGAUUGCCAAACGGGCCGCAUAAAACGGGCUGGCCCGAGUCCGGUGCGAAAAAACCCGGCCCUAACACGGCCCUAGCCCGGCCCGAUGCCGUGCCCGUGCCUCGGCCGUGCAGUCGGCCCGUAGUGCCAGCCCGGGCACGGCCCGCUCCAACGGGCGGCACGGCUUAGCCGUUGGAUGAGAGAGGAGGGAGCAGGGCCGUUGGAUUUAGGGCGAGGCGGGGGCGCAGGGCUGGCCAUAUAUAAGCCGGCCGCUGCGGCCGCUCCCUCCGCAAACCCUAGCUCCUCUCAGUCUUCUCUCUCGCGCCCUCGCCCGUUCGCAUCUCGCUGGUCGCUCCUUGCCCGCAGCGGCGCAGGCCGCUUGCAGCUCGCUCAUCGCCCUCUUGCUCUCUCGCUCGUCGCCGUCCCCUGCUUCGUCGUAUCCAUGGCGAACUCCGGCGAGUAAGAGGUCACAUCUGGUGGGUUUCAUCCUCAAUCUCUACGCUCUCCCCUCCUCUCUGCCCUCAAUCUCCCUCUUCUUGAUCAGAUUUGGUGGUUCCCCCCCUCAAUUUGCAUCUGUUCUCUUGUUCUUGAUCCCUGAAAGUCGAUUCCUCCCCGACUGCUCCCUAUCUUUUGUCUGUCGUUCUCAUCACCGGCUAGCGCACCCUCCAGGGCUCCGGUCUCCGUUGAGGUACCGAGGGUGUGCUCACGGUCCUUCCCGUCAUUUCUGGUGCUCCGGCUGCAGAGGUAAUCCCUAACCCUAAUUCCUAACCCUAACCCUAAUCCUAACUACUUGCUUUGUUCCCUUUUUCAUUGAUGCAGUCGUUGAGGUACCGGAGACGGCAAGGAUGGCCCUAGACGACGAUGAAUGGGAGUUUGAUCACUCGCAGUGCGGGAUGCCCGGGGAUGAUGAGGACGACAAUGUCCAAGACGACGUUGUUGCGGCCUUUGGGCGGUCUGCUGCUGAUCCCCAUCCCCGUGAUGAUGAUGGCAUCCCGGUGGAUGCGGCUGCAGCCGAUCCCGAGGGCGACGGUGGCGAUAGCGAGGUAGCAAGCUCCAAUCGGCCUUCUACCUCUACUGUCUGGGAGGAUUUUGACAAGUUGUGCAAGAAGGUUCCAGGUAAGAAGAACACGGUCAGGUAUGGUGCUGUCUGCAAACAUUGCAAGAAGAAAUACUCUGCUUAUUCUGCUAAUGGUACUGGGCAUCUUACUCGACAUCUUAAGGUUUAUGUUCAGCGUCAUGAGAAAUGUCGCAUGUCUCAAACUCAUAUUGGUUUUAAACCUGAUGGUUCUUGAAAGCCCUAGUUUGGUUUUGGAUAAUUGAUGAAACCCUAGUACUAACCUCUAUGCUAAGUAUGUGUAGACUUAAUGAGGUUGGUACAUGCCAAGUGAUGGAGCAAGAGAUGAUCAUGGUGAUGAUGGUGAUGACCACAAGAUGAUCAAGUGCUUAACUUGGAAAAGAAGAAAGAGAAAAACAAAACCCUAUGGAGAUCAAGGCGUCCGGUGCAGACAGUGCCUGGCCCAGCUUUUCGGCGCUUUUCGAGAAAAUGAAGUGCAUAUUUUCUAUUGCGCCGGUGGGAAAUUUGGAGAAGUCGCGGGAGUGUUUCUCGCUGAGAAAACACUCACCGGACGCUGGCUUCUGGAGCACCGGACGCUGCGUCUGAGCGUCCGGUGCAGACAGUGCCUGGCCCAGCUAGGGUAAGGCACCGGACGAUAGGCACCGGACGCUGGCUUGAGCGUCCGGUGGUUAGCGUCCGGUGUGCGGGCGUUUUGCGACCCUCUCUGCGCAUGGGUCCGGUGAGCACCGGACGCUGAGGGUGCGUCCGGUGGCUUGCGUCCGGUGACCCUGCGAGUUUGCGGAACUCUCUGCGCAUGAGUCCGGUGCGCACCGGACGCGUCCGGUGCCCCUUUAAGAGCGUCCGGUGACCCCGUAUUUCGCCCAGUGAAAGACCCAACCGCUCUAUUUGUUUGAGGGGCUAUAUAUACGUGUUUGGCCGGCUUGGGGCUCAGACUCUUAGCAUUCUAACAUACUUGACAUCCUUGUGAGCCUAAGCAAACACCUCCCACUCAUCUCCUUCAUAGAUUAUACAUCUUUGUGAGAUUGGGAGUGAUUCCAAGUGCAUUUGCUUGAGUGAUUGCAUCUAGUGGCACUUGGGGAUCGUUUUAGCUGCGGUUUUCUUGUUACUCUUGGUGGUUGCCGCCACCUAGACGGCUUGGAGCAGCGGAGGAGGAUUGGCACGAGUUGGUGAUUGUUCGUGGCCAUCUCCCGGUGAUUGUGAAGGGUCUUGUACCUUCCCCGGCGGAGAGCCAAAAGGUAACUCUAGUGGAUUGCUCGUGUCAUUGAGUUACCUCACUUGUGGGUAGGUUCUUGUGGUGUCCUAGUGAGGACGAGGUUCGUGCUACACCUCUUAGCCACCGAACCACCAAGUGUUGGUCGACACAACGGGGACGUAGCGUGCCGGCAAGCACGUGAACCUCGGGAGAAAAAUUCUUUGUCUUCAUUGUGUUUAUUCAUUGGAUUUCUCCCGGUGAUUGGACUUCAUAUUAUUGAUUGGUUCAUCCCCUCUACGCGGCGGUAUAAAAAUCAAACCAUCUCUUUUUACAUUCCCGCAAACUAGAGUAGCUUUCUUACUUGUAUAGAAACUUUAGGUAGCUCUCUAGUGUAAGUAGUGACAUAGCUCUUGUGUGCCUAGAGAUUAUAUCAACUAGAAUUAUUGGAUAGGUGGCUUGCAAACACCCCUUUAGAGCUAGAGCAAAAAGCUUCGCUUUGUUAUUUACUAACCUCUUGCUCUAGUGAGUUUGUAGAAUUUUUAAAUAGGCUAUUCACCCCCCCUCUAGCCAUAUUAGGACCUUUCAAGUGGUAUCGGAGCCGUAGUCACCGUUUUGUGAAGGCUUAACAACCUCGGUGCUCAAAUUAUGGCUCAAAUAGUGUUCAACCAUGUUGGGGGCAAACCACCAUUCUUUGAUGGCACAAGUUCCUUUGACUAUUGGAAAAGAAAGAUGAAAAUGUACCUUGGAUCAAUAAAUGAUAGAGUGUGGGAAGUGACGGAAAAUGAUUUUGUGAUCCUUGACCCCGCUAAUCCCACCGACAAUGAGAGAGCAAACAAGCAAUGCAAUACUAUGGCUCUCAACACAAUCUAUAAUGGUAUUGAUUCAAAGGUGUUUGAACAAGUCAAAGAUCUUGAGAAAGCAAGUGAAGUGUGGACAAGAUUAGAAGAAACAUAUGAGGGCACUACAACGGUAAAAAGUGCCAAGUUGUACAUGCUCAAGGACAAGCUAUCCAACUUCAAGAUGAAGGAUGAUGAGUCAAUCCCGGAGAUGUUCUAUAGGCUCCAAGUCAUCAUCAAUGAUCUCAAGGGCCUUGGUGAGAAAGUGAAGGAUGAGGACUUCAUUCACAAGUUCUUGAUGUGCUUGCCCAAGAGGUUCAAGACAUUGAGAACAAUCAUCUUUAGAGGUGGAUUGACCGGUGUAUCUCCAAAUGAGGUACUUGGAGAUGUCAUGACCGAAGAUCAAUACAAUGACAAUGAUGAUGAUGAAGUCAUGAAGAAGGAUGAUGAUGACAAGAAGAAGAAGAGUGUAGCAUUCAAAGCUAGCUCUUCAUCCAAGAGCAAGAACAAGGGCAAGGCCAAGAAAGAAGAAUCAAGUGAUGAGGAGUGCUCCAAUGAUGAUAGUGAUGAUGAAGCAUUAGCACUCUUUGUCCGCAAGUUUGGCAAGAUGAUGAAGAAGAAGGGCUACCAUACAAGAAAGAGAAGGGACAACUCCAAGACCAAGGAAUAUGUGAGGCUAUGCUACAAGUGUAAGAGCCCCGAUCAUAUUGUGGCGGAUUGUCCAUACAAUAGUGAUCAUGAUGAGCAUGAGAAGAAGAACAAGAAGGAGAAGAAAGAAAAGAAAGAGAAGAAGAUGGUCUUCAAGAAGAAGAAGAAGGGUGGAUCCUAUGUUGUGACAUGGGACAGUGAUGCCUCUUCGGAUGAUGAUUCAAGUGAUGAUGACAAAGCAUCCAAGAAGAAGGCACUUGCUAGCAUUGCUAUCAACAACAAGCCAUCACUUUUCGACACUCCUUCAUGCUUCAUGGCCAAGGGCCACAAGGUACAAUAUGAUGAUAGUGAAAGUGAAAGUGAAAAUGAACAUGAUAGUGAUAGUGAUGAUGAAAAUGAAUUCACUAAUGAACAACUCAUGGACAUGCUAGAACAAGCCGAUUCACUUAUUCAAUCUAAAAACAAGAAGUGCAAAGAAUUGGCCAAGAAGUUAAAAGCUCUUGAGCAAUCCUUUGAUGAGCUCAAUGCUAAUCAUGAGAAGCUAGUGGAAGCCCAUGAGAAGCUUGGCAAGGCUCACACCAAGCUUGAAAAAGCUCACUCCUUGUUAUUAGAAGAGAACAAGGAAAAGGUUGUUGUAUCAUGUGAUGUGGGCACAACAUGUGACUUAAUUAAUGAAUCAACCAACCUACCUAUUAUUGUUGCCACUAACUCUUCUUGUAGGUCUUCAUCCACCACCACCAACUCUACCUCUACUUCUAGUGCUAGUGUCACUUGUGAUACCUCACUAAAGGUUGAGAAUGAGACUCUCAAGAGAGAGGUGGAUGAGCUCACUCACGCCCUAGGCAAAGCCUAUGGUGGUGAGGCCCGCUUGCUAAAGUGCUUGGGUAGCCAAAGGUUUUCUCUCAAUAAAGAGGGAUUAGGCUAUACCCCCAAGCAGGGCAAGAAAGCCUUUGCAACUCACAAGCCUAGCUUUGUGAAGAGCAAUGGUCGGUAUUGCAACAAAUGCAAGCAAGUUGGGCACCUAGAGCUUAAUUGCAAUAAAAUGAACAAGAACAAGAAAAUUGCUAAUGUACCUUACAUUCCUUUUGAUUCUUGUUAUGUGCUUACCAAGGGUGAGAAGGGUGUGCAUGCUAAGUUUGUUGGUACACCAAUUGUGGGUCCAAAGAAGAAGGCCAUUUGGGUACCAAAGAGCUUAGUCACUAACCUCCAAGGACCCAAACAAGUAUGGGUACCUAAGAAACAUUGAUUUGUUUUGUAGGUAAACUAUAAAGCCGGAGGAAGGCAUUGGGUGCUUGAUAGUGGGUGCACACAACACAUGACCGGUGAUUCAAGAAUGUUCAAUUCAAUCAAUCCAAAUGAUGACAAUGGUGUUGAUAGUAUCACAUUUGGUGACAAUGGCAAAGGCAAGGUCAAAGGGCUUGGUAAAAUUGCUAUAUCCAAUGACUUGAGCAUUUCCAAUGUGCUACUAGUAGAGAGCUUGAACUUCAACUUGCUAUCCGUAGCUCAACUUUGUGAUCUUGGUUUCAAAUGCAUAUUUGGAGUUGAUGAUGUAGAGAUCAUAAGUGUAGAUGGCUCAAACUUGAUAUUCAAAGGCUUUAGAUACGAGAAUCUAUACUUGGUUGAUUUCAAUGCUAGAGAAGCUAAAUUGUCAACAUGCUUGCUCACUAAAUCUAGCAUGGGUUGGUUAUGGCAUAGAAGGCUUGGUCAUGUUGGAAUGAAACAAUUAAACAAGUUAGUCAAGCAUGAUCUUGUUAGAGGCUUGAAAGAUGUCACUUUUGAGAAAGAUAAGCUUUGUAGUGCAUGUCAAGCCGGAAAACAAGUUGGCAACACUCAUCCAAAGAAGAGCAUCAUGAGUACAUGCAAGGCAUUUGAGUUGUUGCACAUGGAUUUAUUUGGACCAACCACGUACACAAGCAUUGGUGGAAAUAAAUAUGGAUUUGUGAUAGUGGAUGAUUUCACAAGAUACACAUGGGUGUUCUUUCUUAGUGACAAAAGUGAUGCUUUUGCAACCUUCAAAUCAUUUGUCAAGAGAAUACAUAAUGAGUUUGAAACAACUAUCAAGAAAGUGAGAAGUGACAAUGGAAGUGAAUUCAAGAAUACAAGAGUAGAUGAGCUUUGUGAUGAAUUUGGCAUUAGGCAUCAAUUCUCGGCCAAGUAUACUCCACAAUCAAAUGGUCUUGUUGAGAGAAAGAAUAGAACCUUGAUUGACAUGGCAAGAUCAAUGUUGAGUGAGUACAAUGUGAGUCAUUCUUUUUGGGCCGAAGCAAUCAACACGGCUUGCUACUAUAGCAACCGACUCUAUUGUCACCCAAUGAUGGAGAAGACACCAUAUGAGCUCUUGAAUGGUAGAAAGCCCAACAUUGCAUAUUUUCGUGUUUUUGGUUGCAAAUGCUACAUAUUGAAGAAUCAACACCUGCGGCACAAACCCAUUUUUGACCAAUUGGUCCGUAUAUCAUAGGCGACCGAACGGCCGCCCCCCGUCUUACUAGACCAACCUGCUAUAAUUAUUCCAUAAACACCUAGCGAAGAUAUGGCAAACAAAUAAAGUAGCCCUAUGUUCGGAUCUGACAAUACCAUACCAUAAUCAAAAGGUGGUAGUUUCCCAUCAUAAGGCUUUCCAUCUAUAGAUUGAUUGAGCCAUUACCCACCAAGGAUCCCAUUCGUUCAGAACUCAGUUGACUGCUUCUAUAGAUAAGGCGGAACGUCCUUAGUUCAGCAUUGUGAGCCACUUAUUUCUCCGAAAUCUGAGAUCAGAGUGAUUUUCCUCCUUUUUCCCAAAUAGUCGACGGUCUUACACCAUUGGGAUACUUCGGAUAAACUGGUGGUUAGGAACCAGGUAGGAAAAGCAAUCCCUAGCCCCGCAGGGCCAGGUCGGAUACGCGGAUCAGUGUGUAGAAACAACCCUCAGAUAGAAAGCAGGUUAGGAAGAUAUCACGGCUAAACGUUCAGCUUCAAAUUUUAGAGAUGACCCAGUAGCCAAUGAUUUCAGGUUUUCUGAUCUCACUCAUUCUAAGAAACGUCAGUGCUUAACCUUUCAGUACAUGAUAGUUUGAUAGUUAAGAGUUUCCAUUUUCUGGCUUAUGCUCUUUCAUUUUUCCCUUUACCAUAAUUCCCUUAUUCUGGCUAGGGUAUGUCAGAAGGUUGUUAGGCUUGAAACUGCUUUUCUUUCUUUUCUUUUGAUAAGAAAUUCUCCAUGUCUUUGGAUAAAAUGCAUCAAGCUUACUGCCUUCAUUGCCAUGACAAGGUCUUUGAUGUCUUCCCUCAACUCAAGCAGGCAGAUAUCCAAAUGACAUGUCUUAUUUUACAAUAACCCAUGUUUGUAGCAAUGAAAUACCACAACCUACCCGAUAUGAUAUAUUAGAAUUAGAAUUCUCUAUGAUAUGCCUUCCCUAUAAAGGACCCGAAAUACCUUGCUUACGUAUCAUUGGAAAGUGCAUUAAUAUAAAUACCGCAGUAAGCAGAGGUAGUACAAAGGUAUCCUAUCAAGGUUAAGGAGUCAACUGAGCAUCUCAGCGGCGGGAUUGAAUACCCGGAUCGAAUCAGAAUUCAUGCCGCCCGCCUUGAACAAAUAGAAUAGGAGGCGUGGGCCACAGGUCGCACAUAAGCCAUCGGGUCGCACGACAGAAGAACACCCAACAUAAAGAUGCACACUCCUCCAUGUGAAAUAGAAAGAUUCAUCUUCACUUUUUUGUAGUAGUCGUGACCAACAGCCAUCAACAGUCGGCUCGUUGGUGGAACCAGUGAACCACGCGAGCUGGUUAGAUGCGUGGGGCAGAGGGCUCGUAGUACCCCCCUUUUCUUGAUCCAGCCUUUUCUUCGCUUCGGUAGUUAAUCACCUAAAAUCCAAGGGGGUCUGGCCUGCGCGCCAUACCUAUACCCAUACAGUGCCAGGCAGGCGGUGGACUCAUUUUUGGGUUAGGGAAGGGAAGAAGGGGCCUAAGCACGGCAGAUGCCGUACAAGAUUGAGUGCCAGCACGUAGCUGUGCUUUCAGCAAGAAUUUCACCAUUGGGAGCCGGUGCCUUUCGAAGCACUUUCACGUGUGAACCGAAGUCGUCUUGCCGAACUCAAGACCCACGGAGACCUACCUAUAGUGACGUCAAAGUACCAGUGAGCAUGGAGGUUUGGUUAGGCUUGGUUACGAGUCGAGUUGGCGGCGGAGGAAGACUCGGCAUGAAGGCCAGCCGCCCGGUGGUGUGGUACGUAGUGGUAAUAGUACGCGCCCCGCUCCGAAACAAAGAAAAAGGUGCGUGCCGCACUCACAAGGGUGUUCAUGAUCCAUCUUAGCCUUUUUGAUUCCCCUAUUGGUAGUACCCACUAGCAGAUGUGUGUUUCUAUGGCAUAAAUAGUUCCUGGACUUCCCUUUUCUUUGCACUUACUUCGACUUCGAUCUGUCCCUGGGUCUCACCACUUCCUUCCUCAAGGCGUAGUCUAAUAGACCAACUAGAGGAGAGGAGUCCUUCAUGAAUCGCCUUGCCUUGCUUAAAGAGGUUUCUGACGCCCGUGGAACUCUUGUUUUGAGGAAGCAAUGAACAUUGUCUUUUCCAUUCUCAAUAAAUGAGGAAGGAGGGGUGAGGUCCUCACUUGCGAGUGAGGCAAGGCUUUCUUAAUUCUAGCUUUCUUUUUUUGCGUGCUUUUCGCCUGCCUUCCCGACCACGGAUAGGCUACGGGGCUUUGCACUUCGGCCCCUGUGAAUACCACAUCAAGGUGACAGGAUUCGAACCUAUGGCCCUCUGUACCCAAAACAGAUGCGCUGACCAGACUGCGCUACACCUGGUAAAAGUGCUCAUCACUACUACUAUAUAUAAUAUAGUAAAUUACAGACAACACUCAAUGCUAAUGAGUGGAUCAAGUCAUUUACUAGUCAAUGAACUGACUAAACCCUGUCUGUUCUGGGAAUUGACCCACUUAACUAUACUCUUAGGGCAAGCCGCCCUGUGGUAAUUAACUCCGUAAAAUCUGUGGUAAAUCGUACCUCAAGUCAAAGGGCCUCGUUAUAGUUGGAGGCAACACAACACACGCUGAACUCAACUUGCCUAUUUUGUGACCAAUAAAAGACCAACGAAACGACGAGUGAGAAAGAUAAAGAACGCGACGUGGUGACGACUUAUUCCUAUCCCAGCGAGGAACUACGGCAUGUUUCGAGCUAAAAGCUCUGGCACUAGAUUGAGUAAAUUUGAAAAGAAAUGUGAUGAAGGCUUCUUACUUGGUUACUCCACUACUAGCAAAGCUUAUAGAGUUUGGAAUUUGGCUAGUGGUACUCUUGAAGAAGUGCAUGAUGUUGAGUUUGAUGAAACAAAUGGCUCUCAAGAGGAAGAUGAGAAUCUAGAUGAUGUGAGAGGCACUCAAUUGGCCGAUGCAAUGAAGAAUAUGGACAUUGGUGAUUUAAGGCCUAGAGAGGUGAUUGAUGUUGAAGAUGACAAAGAUCAAGUGCUUCCUACCUCUAAUGUGCAAACUAGUAGCUCUCAUGAUCAAAAUCAAGCUAGUACAAGUGGUACUCAAGUGCAAGAUCAACAAGCUAGUACAUCAUCUCAUGAUCAACCAAGUUCAAGCAAUCAAGAGCAAAUACUCCAACCAACAAAUAUUGCAAGAGAUCAUCCAUUGGAUCAUAUCAUAGGUGAUAUUCAAAGAGGAGUGCAAACUAGAUCAAGAUUAGCAUCAUUUUGUGAGCAUUUCUCCUUUGUGUCUCACAUUGAGCCAAAGAAGAUUGAAGAAGCAUUGAGAGAUGUUGAUUGGGUUAAUGCCAUGCAUGAAGAGCUUAAUAAUUUCAAGAGAAAUCAAGUAUGGGAAUUAGUUGAGAGGCCUAGUGAUCAUAAUGUCAUUGGCACUAGAUGGGUCUUUCGCAACAAACAAGAUCAAGAUGGGAUAGUUGUAAGGAACAAAGCAAGAUUGGUAGCACAAGGCUAUACUCAAGUUGAAGGUCUUGACUUUGGUGAAACAUAUGCCCCGGUUGCAAGAUUGGAAGCAAUUAGGAUCUUGUUGGCCUAUGCUUGUGCACAUAACAUCAAGUUAUAUCAAAUGGAUGUGAAAAGUGCAUUUCUCAAUGGCUAUAUCAAUGAAGAAGUCUAUGUUGAGCAACCUCCCGGUUUUGAAGACGACAAGAAACCCAACCAUGUUUACAAGCUAAGAAAGGCAUUGUAUGGUUUGAAGCAAGCACCAAGAGCAUGGUAUGAGAGAUUGAGAGACUUCUUACUCUCUAAAGGUUUAAAGAUGGGCAAGGUUGACACCACUCUCUUCACCAAGAAGAUUGGCAAGGACUUGUUUGUGUUGCAAAUCUAUGUUGAUGAUAUCAUAUUUGGAUCAACCAACCAAGAAUUUUGUGAGGAGUUUGGCAACAUGAUGGCUAAUGAGUUUGAGAUGUCAAUGAUUGGAGAGCUUAGUUACUUCCUUGGUCUUCAAAUCAAGCAAUUGAAGAAUGGCACAUUUGUGAGUCAAGGCAAGUACAAAAAGACAUGCUCAAGAAGUUUGGUAUGGAUGAUGCAAAAUCAAUUAGCACUCCAAUGGGAACAAAUGGAAGCCUAGAUAGUGAUACAAGUGGAAAUAUGGUGGAUCAAAAGUUAUAUCGGUCUAUGAUUGGAAGCCUACUCUAUGUGACCGCAUCAAGACCGGAUGUCAUGUUUAGUGUAUGCAUGUGUGCAAGAUUCCAAGCCUCACCAAGAGAAAGUCAUUUGAAAGCAACAAAGAGAAUAUUGAGGUACCUAAAGCAUACACAAAAUGUUGGUUUGUGGUAUCCGAAAGGUGCAAAGUUUGAACUCGUUGGAUAUUCCGAUUCGGACUAUGCGGGAUGCAAAGUUGAAAGAAGAAGCACAUCGGGCACAUGUCAACUAUUGGGAAGAUCACUUGUCUCAUGGUCAUCCAAGAAACAAAAUAGUGUUGCACUAUCAACCGCCGAAGCGGAGUACAUUGCGUCCGGUAGUUGUUGUGCACAAAUCCUAUGGAUGAAGGCAACUUUGAAGGAUUUUGGAAUCAAUUUCAAACAAGUGCCAUUACUAUGUGACAAUGAAAGUGUCGUGAAGCUCACCAACAAUCCGGUUCAACACUCAAUAACAAAGCACAUAGAUGUCCACCAUCAUUUCAUAAGAGAUCACCAACAAAAAGGGGACAUUUGCAUUGAGAGUAUAGGCACCGAUGAUCAACUUGCUGAUAUAUUCACCAAGCCACUUGAUGAGAAGAGGUUUUGCAAGCUAAGGAAUGAAUUGAACAUACUUGACUUUUCAAAUAUGUGUUGAUGCACCCCCAUUAUAUGACAUGCCUCUCCUUCAAGCAAAGCAAGGUAAAAUUGUUUGACAUAUCAUCCAUCUUUGCUAAGGACUUGUUUAGUGCAUCUAGUCAUUCCUUACAUGUCUUAGGCUCAUUCAUGAAAAUCAAAUGAACUUGAUGCUUGUAUGGUACCACUAUUGCUUCUAUGCUUGACUUAAUCUAGUGGUAGCAUAUGACAUGUUUGUGGGCUUGCAAUCCUAGUGUUUGAUCUAGAAUAUGAGCUAUAAGUGUUUAACUCAACAUGGUACAAGAUAACCCUUAUUUGGAGGUGUGAAGAAGCUUGUCCUUGGAUCAAACCGAGUUAAAUACCUUAGGCAAGUAAUCUAAAUUGGACCAAUUUGGUAAAAUAAUCUCACUUCACAUGGUUUCACACUAACCUAUCUAAAAUUUGAGCUCACCUUUUGUGGUCAUUGAUGACAAAGGGGGAGAAAAUUUCCCAAAGUUCCCAAAGAUUUAAGAUAGGGGAGUAACAUGAUAAAAGAAGGGGAUCAAUUAAAAUUUUGAAGCACACAAGUAGGGGGAGCAAGCUCAUAAACUUGUAUGUUGCAUUUAUAUGUGCAUCACAUAUGGUUGCUUGCAUUUGCAUUAGCUUUAGAAGCUUUCUCUCCACUACCUUGCUUGUGUGGUGUAUGCUAGUUGUAGGUUUGAUUGAUGAAAUGAAGAACUAGCAUGCAUAGGUAGUGUGACUAGACGUUUAGUUAUUUCACAAGUGGUACUAGAACCUUGUUUUUAAUGUUGAUCUCACGGGGUGUUCUAGUUUUGUGAAUGUCUAGUCACUCAUGGUGCUAAGGAUGGUGUAUAUUGGCAACUCCGAUUGGUAUCACGCUUCAAAGGUCCAUUCUUUACACCUUAGCAUCAUUUGGUAGAAAUUGACUCCUAUAUUUCCUAUUCAAGCAUAUGUGCAAGCUUUCAAAUCCAAACUCUUAGCACAUAUGUAGGGGGAGCAAUUGCUACCAAUUUGGGUUUAUGAAACUUGUCCAUAACCUUUGCACAUGGUAAAAUGCUUGGGCAAGCAACAUGAAUCCAAGAAAUUUUAUUGAAAAUCUUUGUAAAAAGGGUUGUCAUCAAUUACCAAAAAGGGGGAGAUUGAAAGCCCUAGUUUGGUUUUGGAUAAUUGAUGAAACCCUAGUACUAACCUCUAUGCUAAGUAUGUGUAGACUUAAUGAGGUUGGUACAUGCCAAGUGAUGGAGCAAGAGAUGAUGAUGGUGAUGACCACAAGAUGAUCAAGUGCUUAACUUGGAAAAGAAGAAAGAGAAAAACAAAACCCUAUGGAGAUCAAGGCAAAGGUAUUGCUUAGGGUUUUGGUUUUGUGAUCAAGACACCAUAGAGGGUGUGAUCACAUUUAGGAUAGAUAGUCGUACUAUAAAGAGGGGAAUUCUUUGGCUAAGCGGUUAUCAAGUGCCACUAGGUGUCAUUGUUCAUGUGCAUGCAUUUAGAACCUAGUAAGCUAACUUAACUCCCUCGAAGAAAAUGAUUGUGAAAAUGCUAACACACGUGCACAAGUUGGUUUACACUUUGUGGUGUUGGCACACUUUGAGAAGGAGGUGGAGUUUGAAAGGUAGAGAGAGGAUGGGUUCCUCUCUCCCUCCCGCCGAGCUUGCGAGGCGGGAUUCGGCACUUUGAGAAGGGUUUUGUUUUUCUCUUUCUUCUUUUCCAAGUUGAGCACUUGAUCAUCUUGUGGUCAUCACCAUCAUCACCAUGAUCAUCUCUUGCUCCAUCACUUGGCAUGUACCAACCUCAUUAAGUCUACACAUACUUAGCAUAGAGGUUAGUACUAUGGUUUUAUCAAUUAUCCAAAACCAAACUAGGGCUUUCAGUCCGGUGCGCACCGGACGCGUCCGGUGCCCCUUUAAGAGCGUCCGGUGACCCCGUAUUUCGCCCAGUGAAAGAGCCAACGGCUCUAUUUGUUUGAGGGGCUAUAUAUACGUGUUUGGCCGGCUUGGGGCUCAGACUCUUAGCAUUCUAACAUACUUGACAUCCUUGUGAGCCUAAGCAAACACCUCCCACUCAUCUCCUUCAUAGAUUAUACAUCUUUGUGAGAUUGGGAGUGAUUCCAAGUGCAUUUGCUUGAGUGAUUGCAUCUAGUGGCACUUGGGGAUCGUUUUAGCUGCGGUUUUCUUGUUACUCUUGGUGGUUGCCGCCACCUAGACGGCUUGGAGCAGCGGAGGAGGAUUGGCACGAGUUGGUGAUUGUUCGUGGCCAUCUCCCGGUGAUUGUGAGGGGUCUUGUACCUUCCCCGGCGGAGAGCCGAAAGGUAACUCUAGUGGAUUGCUCGUGUCAUUGAGUUACCUCACUUGUGGGUAGGUUCUUGUGGUGUCCUAGUGAGGACGAGGUUCGUGCUACACCUCUUAGCCACCGAACCACCAAGUGUUGGUCGACACAACGGGGACGUAGCGUGCCGGCAAGCACGUGAACCUCGGGAGAAAAAUUCUUUGUCUUCAUUGUGUUUAUUCAUUGGAUUUCUCCCGGUGAUUGGACUUCAUAUUAUUGAUUGGUUCAUCCCCUCUACGCGGCGGUAUAAAAAUCAAACCAUCUCUUUUUACAUUCCCGCAAACUAGAGUAGCUUUCUUACUUGUAUAGAAACUUUAGGUAGCUCUCUAGUGUAAGUAGUGACAUAGCUCUUGUGUGCCUAGAGAUUAUAUCAACUAGAAUUAUUGGAUAGGUGGCUUGCAAACACCCCUUUAGAGCUAGAGCAAAAAGCUUCGCUUUGUUAUUUACUAACCUCUUGCUCUAGUGAGUUUGUAGAAUUUUUAAAUAGGCUAUUCACCCCCCCUCUAGCCAUAUUAGUACCUUUCAGUUCUGUUAAAAGUUGGACAUACAAUGCUGAUCUUGCUCGUGUCGAACUUGUUCGUAUGUUUGUUAGGCUAGAUUUGCCCUUGAUGGUUGGUGAAACAGAUGCUUUUAAGGAGUACAUUAAAAAGGCUCAUAAUUCUGCUUUUAGUCCUGCGUCUAAACAAACCAGUGACAGAGAUCUGUUUAAGUACUUUAAUCAACAACGUGAGAAGUUGAUUGCUUGUUUACAAGAUAAUGCUGUGUCGUCUGUUGCUGUUACCUCUAACAUUUGGUCUAGAAAGGCCAAAGAAGACUACCUGUCUGUUGUGGCUCAUUCAUUAAUGUUGAUUGGCAAUUAGAGAAGAGAGUGCUUGGUUUAAGGUUGAUUGAUGUCUCCCAUAAUGCUGAUAAUAUUGCUGAGCGUGUUAAAUCUGUCCUUGCUGAGUAUGGUAUACUCAAUUCGGUUUUCUCUGUGACUUUGGAUAAUGCAUCUGCCAAUAAAAAUGCAAUAGAUAAACUAAAACCUAUACUAAAAGAGUAUUUAGGUGCUGAUCUGUUUUUGCAUCAAAGAUGUGCUUGUCAUAUCAUUAACCUGAUUGUUAAGGAAGCACUGAUUGAUGUAACUCCUCUCAUUGAUAAAGAACUGCAAUCUCUUUUUUGAACUCAUCUAAUCAAAGAAUUGCUGCAUACAAGAGUUAUUGCAUUGCUUCAUCUGUUAGACCUAGGAAGUUCUCACUAGACAUGGAUGUGAGAUGGAACUCCACCUACCUUAUGCUGAAAACAUUGUUACCUCACAGGAGUACUUUUAGUACUUUUAUUGAGGCUAAUUAUCCUAGACCAACUGGUUCUCCUUUCCUAUUGACUGAUGAUCACUGGGAAAUGGCUGACAAGAUGUUAAAAUUUCUUGAACUGUUUUAUGAGUCCACUGUUGAUUUGUCUGGUGUGUACUACCCUACUUCUCUACUGAUGAUUCAUCAUAUUGUUAAGAUUGCUAUUCACCUGCAUAAAUAUCAACAUGAUGAACACCUAAGAGCUGUUGUCCACUCUAUGAUUGACAAAUAUAAUAAAUACUAGAAGAACAUUCCUGAUCUUUACUCCAUUGCAUUCAUACUUGAUCCUAGAGCUAAGAUCAAGGACUUUACCAAAGUGCUGAGAAAGUUAAACUCUCUUUUUAAUGUUGACUACACUAACAAGUUGCUCGACACAAGAGCUCUUCUUUUCAAAAUGUACAACAGGUAUGAUGCAAUGCAUGGCUCUGUUAGGCUUAGAAGGGCUGUUCCUGCAUCCCAUUUUGGUAAAAAAAAGAACACCUUGGGCUACCAUUUAUGAUGAUGAUGAGCUUGACAUUGGAGCUGGCAGUGCUUCCCUCCCUCCUAAUCUUGAUCAGUCCAGGAAUGUGUCUGCCACUUCUUUGCUACAUGUAGCUUGCGCUACUAACUCUAGUGAGCUUGCCACCUACCUGGACUCAGAUACAGUGAGCCAAUUAGAUGAUGAUUUUGACCUCAUGCAAUCGUGGCAUGAGCACAAGCUUACUUAUCAUGUGCUUUCUAUUCUUGCAAAAGAUAUAUUUAUUGUCUCUGUGUCAACCAUCUUUUCAGAAUCUACCUUUAGCACUACUGGCAGGAUCAUCGAGGAGCGUCGCCGGCGGCUGAACCCUGAGACUGUUGAGGCACUGACCUGCAUCAAGGACUAGGAAAAUGCUGAAUCAAGACUGCAGCACAUGGUGGAGGACAAGGAGCUGGAAGAGGCCUUUGAAGCACUUUAUCUUGAUGUUGAUUAAGUUUUUUAUUUUUGUAAUGGUUCUGUAAUAGCUUAAGAGCUGGGAAAACAUUUUGGUGGCUGGAUGGAUGUAAUGAACUUAUAAACUAUUAGGAGCUGGUUGUACUCUUUUUCUGUUAGGAUUUCUCACAAGGAUGAGUUUUACCUAACAGGUUUUUAAUGAGGCAGCCAUUGCACAGCUCCUACUUUAAUUAGUUUUAAUUCCAAAUUUUCCUGUAUUCUUUGCUUUUCUGUGCUAUUUUCUGUUCUUUCCUGUGGUUUACAUGUGUUAUAAAUUUGUAUUGUGAACUUUUGAGUUGAAUGAAUAUAUAUAUGACUUGUGAAGUUUUAGUGCCAGGACCGGCACGGGCACGUUUGGCACGGUCCUGGAAUUUUAGGGUCGUGCUAGUGCUUGCUUUUCAGCACGGCGACACGGCACGACACGACACGAUUCAUCUACUGUGCCUGCCGUGUCGUGCCUAGGCAGGCCGUGCCCAGCGGUGCUAGGGCCGUGUAGUGCCAUGCCGACACGUUUGAAAAUAUUUAGGCACGGGAAUCGCCGGAGAAGCAGUAGCCACGUACGGUAAGUUUCCCUUUUUCUUUUUUUUCUUCUUUCUUCUUAUUUGUUUUCUUUUCCUUUUUCUUUAUUUUUCCUUAUUAUUUUCUUUUUUUCUUUAUUUUUAUUAUUCUUUUCUUUUUUGUUUUCUUUCUUUCUUCUAUUUACCUUUUCUCUUUACCUUUUCUCUAUCAUUGUUUUAUCUUUUUAUUUUUCUUUCAUUAUUUUAUUUCAUAUUUUAUACUAUUUUUCUCUUUCUUUAGCUUAUCUUUUAUCUCUUAUUCAUGUUAUUUUUCAUUUUUUUAUGUUUCUAGCAUGCAUGUUUCUUUUUUCUCUCGAUACAAGUUGGUAGUUGGUGUUUCUUUUUAUUCUUAUUUUCUUCUUAAUUAAAUUCUAGUAUGUGUUGAUAUUAGUUACGCACACGAAAGAAUCAAAGAGAAAUAAUCCGCAAGCGCACGGAUAUCGGUGAGCACUUCACCCGGAAGAUAAGUCCAGAGUAUCGUAUUUAUUUUUUACUACUAGGAGAAAAGCUUGCAAAAGACUAACCUUUUAUCCUACCUGCUACCCACGGGUUGCAAGACAAAAGCUUGCAAAAGACUAACCUUUUAUCCUACAUGCUACCCACGGGUUGCAAGACAAGAUAGUGAGAUAUAAACGAUAUAGAGAGAACUUUUUCUUUAGUCUUAUUCUAACCUAUGGUAAGUGUGUAGAUAUCAUUCUAAGGGGAGUAACUAGAGAAAAGAGGACACCUCAGAGAGUGCUUAACCCUAGUACCAUAUACCCUACCUUACCUCCUGACGGGACGUGGAUUACUAAGAUCCAAGAGGAUUGUCAGUUCCCCCAUAAGGCUACCACAAAUGCGCCCAAGCAGGGAGUAUCUACGAGUAUUCCUAGCCCAAGCACCACGCUUGCGCUACGAAUAAUUACUCUAUUCUCUACGCGAAGCGAAUAAAGUAAACUUGUAAAUCAAAGAACAAUAAAAACAAUAACUUACUAGUAUGAGAAGUUGAAUUGCCGAACGAUUCUAGAACCAAGCCCCUCAGGUUAGGAGACUUGACCCCCGAAGAUACGAAGAAGAAGGCACCGACAGGCCGGGCUUCCUCAACUCCUAUCUUCACCCUAUACUCUCUCAAUCUCUCUUGUUGCUAUCACCCUAAAGAGAUAGAUCCAUUCGAGGGGCCCCUCUCUGUCUAACUCUCUCUAGAAAAUAUGAAUUAGGGUUUCAGAGUUACAUCUCAAGGUGGGUCAGGGUCUUUAUUUAUAGUCCCCUAGGAAUCACCACAGCCCUUGGAUCAAACUGACUUAAAUGUGCGCUUAAGAUCAAAGUCGGUGGAGGCAGGAUCUGCGAGGUUCGCUCCGAUUGGUGGAGAGCCCCGGGCAGCCGCCUCUAUCAGGGUGGGGCGCCUGCCCCUGCCCUAUGGCAGGUGGGUGCCACCUUUCAGGUGGUGGCUCCUGGAGUCUUCUAGAUUGUUUCUGAGUUGACGUUCUGGUCUUCUCUCUAUGUAAAUCUGACAUGUGAACAUUCUUUUGUUAUUAUUUCGGUAACCCCUGUAGAAAUAGACAAUCACCAAAACUCGUAGAAUUCUGUUAGUGAUAACCCUAUAUCUACUGAGUGCUUACAAACAGGUCAUUUUUCAUGUUAAGUUGACGGUUAAAAUUAGGAGUUAUCUAGUAUGCUGUUACGUUUGUUUCUCUUUUUUAUUUCUUUUUUUUCUUAUUUUCUAUUCUGUGUUAUUUUACUUUACUUAAUUAUUUUAUUUUUCAUGCUCAUAUUUAUUUCUUUUUUAUAUAUAUUUAUCAUUUAUUAUUCAUGUUUUAUGUGUGUUUUUUUGCUUUGCAAUUCAUAUUAUUAUUAUUAUUAUUAUUAUUAUUAUUAUUAUUAUUAUUAUUAUUAUUAUUAUUAUUAUUAUUAUUAUUAUUAUUAUUACUAUUAUUAUUAUUAUUAUUAUUAUUAUUGUUAUUAUUAUUAUUAUUGUUAUUAUUAUUAUUAUUAUUAUUAUUAUUAUUAUUAUUAUUAUUAUUAUUACUAUUAUUAUACUACUACUACUACUCUAAAAGUAUUUUUUAGUUUAGUUUUUUAUUUUCUAUAUUUCAUGAGAUGCUAUGUUCAUAUAAUAGAGUUGUGAUGUUCUAUAAUAUUUUAUGUAUGUUCACAUGGUAUAUAAUGUCAUGUUUUGUGUUUUUACGUAGUAUACAUAUGAUGUUCUAUAAUAUAUUUUGUAAUAUUCACGGAGUAUACAUGCGGUGUUCACGUAGUAUAUAAUUAUGUUUUAUGAUGUAUUCUGUGAUGUUCAUGUAAUAUAAAUGUGUUGUUCUAUUAUUUUUUUUAUGAUAUUCUAUGGUGUAUUUAAUGGUGUUCACUUCAUAUAUACCUGAUGUUUUAUAGUAUAUUUUAGGAUGCUUGAAAGUACCAUGUGAUAUUUUUUAAAUUUUUUCUAUUAUGUGUUUUAUUUUCUUCCUUAUGUUUUGUUUUAUAUUUUUUAUGUUAUGUUAUGUUAUGUUAUUUAUUUAUUUAUUUUUAUGUAUAUUGGAAUACCAAUUUCAUAAACCUAAACUGAGAACAUUCUUCUUAUUAAAAUAGAACAUUGUUCUUUCAAAUCUAGAACAUUGUUUUUGUUCAAUAAAAGAAAAAUAUUCUAGCUUCAGAAGACAAAUGUUCGUUAAAAGACAUUAUCUAAAUAUAUACAUAUGGGGUCUUAUUUUGAAGGAUUUACUGCAACAAAUCCAACGAUGUAAUCGAAAUUUAAUUUGGAUAUUCAUUUUAGUAGUUAAUUUUUUUAAAUUAGUUAAAAGUUAAAGAUGAAGUGGGGCCCUUCACUGACCAAAUAGUUCUCAGGGCGCCAGAUCCUUCCGGCUCCCUCGCGCGCUGCCUGCUGCGGCCUUCAGGCAGGAAGCUGCGAGCCUGGGCGGAAAAUCAUCUGCGCGUGCCGCUAUGAUCCGAUGAGAAAAUGACAAUUUUGUCAUUAUAAAAACUAGGCUUCGCAAUUUUACCAUCCCACAAAUAGGAUUCGCAAGUUUGUCAUUCUCAAACGAUGUACACUCUCAAAUAUGCCCUGAGCAGAAUUUCAAUUUAAUUUUUUUUUUUUGCCGUGUCUUAUUUUUCUUCCCGUUUUGCCCCUCCUCCUUAUCCAUUCAUUCACGGGCGAGGACAACGCAUUUGUCGGCCGCGUUCCCGCGAUGGGAAGGGACAACGUAUCCGCCGGCAGCGCGUUCCCGUUCCAGAGCGUCGGGCUCGGCAGCGCCGGUACACGUCCUUGUUUGCCGUCCGGGAGCACCCCGACGCCUUGGUCCCCGAGCGCGACCGCCUGCUGCUCAGCCUCGGUCCUCGAGCGCGAGCGCGACGCCCAACCCCCAGUGUCCAUGGUGCUCGUCUCCGUCGGCAGCGAGUACUUCAUGACGGAGGAGCAGCUGGUGGUGGAAGGGUAGGCCCCGAGGAGGACGACGACACCUUGGUCGCCGGGCGCGGGCUGGUGGUGGAAGGGUGGGCGCCGCAGCGCCGCGUCCUGGCGCACCCGGCCUGCGGCACGUUCCUGUCGCACUGCGGGUGGAGCUCCGUGCUGGAGUCGCUGACGGCGGCGCUGCAGCUGCACAUCGACCAAAUGCUGGGUGCCAACCUGGCCGCGGAGCUGGGCGCCGCCGUGCGCGUGCCGCAGGAGCAGUUCGGGGAGUUCCGGGCCGAGGACAUGGCGCGCGCGGUGCCGCGGAGUUUGCGAGAGGUGGUGGCGCGGAACGACGCGGACGGCGCGCAGGUCGACGCGCUCGUCCAGCGCAUGGCGUGGCUCUGCGGCAAGGGACAGCAGCGAGUGGCCGUGCCCAACUGAAUUUCCGCUGCGUUGCGCUCUUGCUCUGUUUCAUUUAAAGUUCGUCUACUCGUCACUCAGACGGGGCGGCGCCGGCAGCUUGGCUCGGUCUCGACCGCCAUGGAUGCGUUGUCCCCUCCCGUCGCAGACUCUGGGCUUCCCUCGAUCAAACUCUGCGAAUGCGUGACUGUCUUCCGUGAACGAAUGGAUAAAGAGGAGGGGCAAAAUGGGAAGAGAAAUAAGACAUAGCAAAAAAAAUUAAUUAGAUCGAAAUCCUGCUCAGGGCAUAUUUGAGGAUGUGCAUCAUUUAAGAAUGGCAAAUGUGCGAAUCUCAUUUGCGCGAUGGCAAAAUGGUGAAGCCCAGUUUUUAUAAUGGCAGAAUUGCCAUUUUCUCUGAUCCGAUUGCUCGGACUAUAGGAUUAGGAGCCCCCACGCCUCACAACGGCGCGUUCGUGUUUCUUGUGGAAAAUUCAAAGUGCAGCGCGCGAUGCGUUCGGACGCACCUGUUGCGCUCUUGACAGUGGCGAAACGACUGAGGGAGUUGCCUUGUUUAGUUCCUUAAAAAUUUUUGUAAAAUUUUUCAGAUUUUUCAUCACAUCAAAUCUUUUGACACAUACAUAUACCAUUAAAUAUAAAUAAAAAAUAAUUAAUUGUACAAUUUGUCUGUAAUUUGUUGACGAAUCUUUUGAAUUUAGUUAGUUUAUAAUUAAAUAAUAUUUAUCAAAUAUAAAAUACUAUAAUGUCUAUUAAAAAAAUAGAAGAGAUCCAGGAGCAUCAGCCGAGCGCUGCUGGGUUGUGCUCCCUUCCUGCUAGGCUGCUGGGCCUUGUUUACUUACAAAAUAUAAAUAUUACCAAUUUUGUUUGUAUUUGACAAAUAUUGUCCAAUCAUGGAUUAACUAAGCUCAAAAGAUCCGUCUCGACAAUUCCGACCAAACUGUAUAAUUAGUUUUUAUUUUCGUCUAUAUUUAAUAUUUCAUACAUACGUCUAAAGAUUUAAUGUGACGGAGAAUCUGAAAAAUUUUGCAAAAUUUUUUGGGAACUAAGGCCUUGUUUAGAUCGCUACUGUAGCACUUUCGUUUAUUUGUGGUAAAUAUUGUCCAAUUAUGGACUAACUAGAAUCAAAAGAUUCGUCUCGUGAUUUCCAGGUAAACUGUGCAAUUAGUUUUUAUUUUCGUCUAUAUUUAAUGCUUUAUGCAUGUGUCGAAAAAAUCGAUGUGACGGAGAAUUUUGAAAACUUUUUUGGUUUUGGGGUGAACUAAACAAGGCCUAAACAAGGCCCAAGAUUGACGUGACGAAGCCAAGGGGCGCCUCAUGCUAUACUUGGGCCUUGUUUAGUUCUAAAAUUUUUUGCAAAAUCGACAUUGUAGCACUUUCGUUUGUAUUUGACAAAUAUUGUCCAAUUAUAGACUAAUUAGACUCAAAAGAUUCGUCUCGUCAAUUUCGAUCAAACUGUGUAAUUAGUUUUUAUUUUCGUCUAUAUUUAAUACUCCAUGCAUGCGUCUAAAGAUUCGAUGUGACGGGGGAAUCUGAAAAAUUUUGCAAAAUUUUAAGACCUUGACCAAAUUGCAAGUGCGCCGCCGCCGCUGCCCCUUUUCCUGUUCAUUCCGCUGUCCGCUUCCCAGCAGUAGCACCGCAUGUGCUGGCAAGUCAACCCACUGCAUUGACCGCCAGCCAGCCGCGUCCACGCGCGCGCGAGCUCAAUGCGUCAAGACCACCACGUGCUCGCCGCCUCACCGGUCACCGCCCCGUCCGGCCCCCGCCCCCCUCACCGCACGGCCACGCCCGCACUCCGCUCUGCCACCCGGCCAAUGCCGACGCCACCACCCGCCCCCGCCCGCGUCCUCCUCGCGUCGCCACUCCUCGCCAUCCUUGCCCUCGCCACCGUCGCUGCCAAUGCAGCGACGCCACCGUCGCCGGCCGAGGCCCUGCUGGCGUGGAAGUCGAGCCUUGUUGACCCGGCGGCGCUGUCCACGUGGACGAACGCCACCAAAGUCUCCAUCUGCACCACCUGGCGCGGGGUCGCCUGCGACGCCGCCGGCCGCGUCGUGUCGCUCCGUCUGCGCGGGCUCGGUCUCACCGGCGGCCUGGACGCGCUCGACCCGGCCGCGUUCCCGAGCCUCACUUCGCUCGACCUCAACAACAACAAUCUCGCCGGCGCCAUCCCGGCGUCGUUCUCGCAGCUGCGCUCUCUGGCCACGCUCGACCUGGGCAGCAACGGGCUCAGCGGCACCAUCCCGCCGCAGCUGGGCGACCUCUCGGGCCUCGUCGAGCUCCGCCUGUUCAACAACAACCUCGUCGGCGCGAUCCCGCACCAGCUGAGUAAGCUGCCAAAGAUCGUCCAGCUCGACCUGGGGUCCAACUACCUGACUAGCGCCCCGUUCUCACCGAUGCCCACGGUGGAGUUCCUCUCGCUCUCCCUCAACUACCUCAACGGCAGCUUCCCGGAGUUCGUGCUCAGGAGCGGCAACGUCGCCUACCUCGACCUGUCGCAGAACGUCUUCUCCGGUCCGAUCCCGGACGCGCUGCCGGAGCGGCUGCCGAACCUGCGGUGGCUCAACCUGUCAGCCAACGCGUUCUCCGGCCGGAUCCCAGCGUCGUUCGCGAGGCUAACGAGUCUCAGGGACCUGCACCUUGGCGGCAACAGCCUUAAUGGCGGCGUCCCAGACUUCCUCGGGUCCAUGUCGCAGCUGAGGGUCCUUGAGCUCGGCAAUAACCCGCUCGGCGGGCCGCUCCCGCCGGUUCUUGGCCGGCUCAAGAUGCUGCAACGUCUCGACGUGAAAAACGCCAGUCUGGUCUCCACUCUGCCGCCGGAGCUCGGCAGCCUCAGCAACCUCGACUUCCUCGAUCUCUCAUUGAACCAGCUCUCUGGAAACUUGCCGGUGUCGUUCGCCGGGAUGAGGAAAAUUAAGGAGAUCGGGAUAUCAGACUGCAACCUCACGGGCGACAUUCCGAGGGGACUGUUCACGAGCUGCCCGGAGCUCAUAUCCUUUCAAGCACAGACGAACUCUUUGACCGGAACCAUUCCACCUGAGGUCGGCAAGGCGACGAAGCUGCUAAUCUUGUAUCUCUUCAGCAACAACCUCACCGGCGAGAUCCCGCCGGAGCUCGGCGAGUUGGCUAACCUGGCUGAACUGGAUUUGUCGGUGAAUUGGCUCAGCGGACCGAUACCAAGCUCGUUGGGCAAUCUCAAGCAGCUCACAAGAUUGACACUCUUCUUCAACGCGCUUAACGGCGCGAUCCCACCGGAGAUUGGGAACAUGACCGAACUGCAGAUCUUGGAUCUGAACAACAACCAACUAGAAGGUGAGCUGCCUUCCACCAUCUCGUCUCUCAGGAAUCUCCUGUACCUCUGUGUAUGAUAACAACUUGAGCGGCACCCUGCCUCCGGACCUUGGCAAAGGGCUGGCCCUGACCGACGUGCACUUUGCCAACAAUAGUUUCUCGGGUGACUUGCCACGGUACCUCUGCGAUGGCUUCGCGCUGAAUAACCUCACGGCGAACCACAACAACUUCAGCGGCACGCUGCCACCAUGUCUACGGAACUGCUCGGAGCUGUACCUGGUGCGUGCGAUUAGAUCAGAACCACUUCACCGGCGACAUCUCAGAGGCGUUCGGUGUCCAUCCCAGCUUGGACCACCUGGACGUCUCAGAGAACCAUUUCACGGGGAGCCUGUCGUCAGAUUGGUCAAAAUGCACCCAUCUCGCAACUCUAUUCGUCAAUGAAAAUCGCAUAUCUGGCAAUAUCGAUGCAUCUUUCUGUAGCUUGUCUUCUCUGAGGUCACUGGAUCUCUCAAAUAACCAAUUCAGUGGGGAACUCCCACGCUGCUGGUGGAACUUGCAAGCUCUGGAAUUCAUGGAUUUGUCUAGCAACAUCUUCUCUGGAGAAUUUCCAGGCUCAGCAACCUAUGAUUUGCCUCUCCAGUCGCUUCAUAUUGGUAACAACAACUUCUUUGGAACUUUUCCACCUAUCGUUCAGAAAUGCACGAAGCUAAGAACACUUGAUAUUGGGGACAACAAUUUCUUUGGUGACAUCCCGUCUUGGAUUGGAACAGCCAUUCCUCUUAUGAGAGUUCUCAUGCUUCGAUCUAACAAUUUCACUGGUAUCAUUCCUUCGGAGCUAUCCCUGCUUUCUAAUCUUCAUUUACUUGGCAUGGCUCAUAAUAGCUUCAUUGGAUCCAUUCCUAGAUCACUUGGCAACUUAUCAUCAAUGAAACAACCAUUCGUGGUAGAAACUCUUCAAAAUCGCGAUAUUCGUUUCCAGCUUAAAUUGGUGCAACAGAGCCGGGUUUCCGUGUUUUCAAGGAGGACUAUUCCUGAAACUCGAAACCCUUUGGAUAAGUAUCGAGAUAGAGUUGGUGUACUCUGGAAAGGCAGUGAACAAACUUUUCAGACAAGUAUUGACUUCAUAACAGGCAUUGAUUUAUCUGGCAAUUCACUUUCUAACAGCAUCCCUGAAGAGAUAAUGUACCUUCAAGGUCUCAGGUUUUUCAACUUGUCAAGAAAUAAUCUGUCAGGCAGCAUUCCGCAAGGAAUUGGCAGGUUGAAUCUCUUGGAGUCCCUUGACUUGUCGUGGAAUGAACUUUCAGGUGCUAUUCCUCAGAGCAUUUCUAAUCUGUCUUGCCUUAGCACGCUAAAUCUCUCGAAUAACCACUUGUGGGGUGAGAUACCAACUGGAAGGCAACUUCGGACACUUGAUGAUCCGUCGAUUUAUGGAAACAAUUUGGGGCUCUGUGGCUUCCCUCUGAGCGUAGCAUGUUCCAACAGAGAUAAAUCUGAGAUGAUAGAAGACCAUAAAGAAUUUACAUGGUUAUGUUACUCGGUGAUUCUUGGCAUCGUUUUUGGCUUUUGGCUUUUCUUUGGAGCUCUAGUUUUUAUGAAGUCCUUGAGAUUUUUGGUCUUUCAGUUUGCUGAAACCUUAGGAAAGGUUAUGCAAAGGUUUGUCAACUCAGUGUCGGGACGAAAUUUUCUCUUUCACUAGAGUGUCCAUGUAAAACUUUAUUAAUCCCUUAGGGCGUUGUUAAGGCAUGUUGUAUCGAACAUUUUCUCUACUUUAAUAUAAAGACGUGCAAACCUUUUGGAUGAUCGAGAAAAAAAUCUUUUCUUUCACACCUUUUUUUUUGUGUUCCUUUUAUUUAUCUUUCUUCUUCCUUAAAAUAGCAUGUAUGGAAGAGAAUAAAAUUAAGAUUUGUAUAAAAAUGUUCUCGAGCACACUCUAAUUUACUUGACUCGCACUAGAGUUAUAGUGAUUAUUUUAAAAAAUAUUUAGGUAGAAUUAAUGUAACUGUAAAUUUAGAUGUCAAAAAAAAUAUUUUACGUGAUUUCUAUAACACCUCUAAUCUAGGUGUGGAAGUGGAACUGCUGCUCACAAAUUUAAGGUCGUAGAUGAAAAACAGAAGGGCAGAAAGCAGAUGACGUGCCUUCUAAUUAACAAUUGCCUAAUGAUAUAUUUCGUCACUUGAUGCAGUUGUUACAGUUUUUUUUUUUGAACCAAGCAAAAACUAAUAGAGCACUGCUGGAUUGACAAGAAACAUUCAAGGUUAAGAUGCAAGGUGGGUUGUUCAUGAGCCCAUGAAUAAGUUCAAAUUUUGCAGAAAAUCUAUGUAACAACUCAAUACUUUAUAAACAACAAUCACUUUAGAUUAAAUCCAUCCCUCUUCAUCUUAUCUUCUCUCUUCUUCUUCCUUCGUCCGAUCUCAACCCGACAAGCCACUCGCCCUUGUUGCCUCUGCCUCCCCUCCUGGCUCCGGUGGCUACUCCUUCGUCGUCAACUACCACGGUCUCAUCCUAAAUCCACCUGAUGUGCCUCAUCCCCAUCGUCUUCUUCAUCUCCGGUCGAGCUCCCCUGACGCCACCACCGGAGCUGGCACCAUGCUAACCCAGUGGAGGUCGUUGGGUUAUCUAUGUCGCACCCUCGCCCAACCGCCUUCCCACUCUGCCCGGCUAGCAGCGCCAUCGCUGCCUUGCCCCACGUCACCCCCACCCCUUGUGCCCACCACCACUGUCAGACCAACCUUGUUUUUUUAAACAAAGGCAAGAGCUCGGCCGCUCAACUAAGACGCAAGAAAUUUAUGUACAAGAAGGGUAGCCAAACCUGGUGCCAAACAUAGGAUACACGAAGAGCUGACCCAUCCACACGACUUGAAAGAGUACAAAACGACCAUGAAUCAUUGUUGCCGAAAAUGGUUUGCAAAGUAGCCAGGAGCUCCGAUUUUCCAUGGCAAACCCUAAACGAUCCUAACGAAGAUAGGCAGAUGGCCCAAAGCGAGAGGCACAAUUGGUCAUCGUUGUAACAUUCCGGUCCAUGACUUAAUAGGAUUAAUAGGAUACUUAUAUCAAUAAGUUGCAACUUCUAUUUCGAAAGCUCAUUUUCAAAGAACUCUAAAGUUAAGCGUGUUUGGCCUGGAAAAUUUAGAGAUGAGUGACCGACCGAAAAGUUCUUUCAUGUGAGUAUGAGUGAGGACAAAGUGCGCGGAAAAGAUUGGUGUUGGUCUACGAGACACUCUAUAUAUCCUACAAAAGCUAUGAAAUGUAAGCGGGUCCGGCCUUGUGGAGGCAGGACGUUACAGAAUGGUAUCAGAGCCGACUCUCGCGGUUUUACAGGCGCGUGUGUCAUAGUUGUGCAGACAUGGUGUGCAUGGCUGGUGUGGACCUAGGGUGGUCACACAGUAUGACACAUGCGCUGGCACUGGACACACGGAUGUAGUCAAGAGGGGAUGUUCCUGACUUGGGGUUGAAUGACGAGGACGUCGGUCUCUUAAGGGGGUGAGAAUGUAACAUCCCGUCCUAGAGCUUAAUAGGAUUAAUAGAACACUCAUACCAACAAGUUAUAGUUUUUUUCAGAAGCUCAUCUUUAAUGAACUCUAAAGUUAAGCGUGCUUGACCUGGAAAAAUUUAGGGACAUGUGACUGAUCAAAAAGUUUUUCCAGGUGCGUACGAAUGAAGACAGUGCACAGAAAAGACAAAUCAUCCCAAAAUUGGUCUUUAGAGUCUUUGCCUACUGUGACAACUUGUCCGACAUUACUCCCCAGAACCUAUCGUGUCACCUCAUUCAUCAGAUUGAGAGGCAUGUCCUCAAUUCAAAUCAAAACUGGCAUCAAAUUUAAUUUAAUGUCCGAUGAUCGAAGCUUGCCAUCAUAAGCAGCAACAAGAAGCGGGUCACCACGAUAGAUCCAUGGCCCUCCCUGCAACACAUAAUUCUUUUCCCCUUCCGAUCUCACCUCAAUAAGGAAACGAUUGUCCCGUAGCCUUUUGACAUCAGGGGCAUAAUUUAAACGCCAAGCAUGCUUCAUGGUUUCAAAUAGCCACAUAAACUGUAUCCACAUAUCGUAAGAAACACACCCAAUAAUCACAAAUUGUGUGCUGUCGUAGCGUCUGCUACAUCGAAGUCAAGGACGAUCGGCGGCGAAUCGUCAUCCUCCUCCUCAAAGCCCCUGGUAUUCAAUUUCCUCCUCUUCUAUGGCGCUGCCCGCCUCCAUAAGAUUUUUUUGCAUGCUAGAGCCAUCACUUAUGUCCGUCAUCACUAGAUCUUUCAUCACGCCAGAACCAUCACCUGUCUCCAUCAUCGUGGCCAGGUUCAAGAGAUCACCUCCACGAAUGAGUUCAGGUGGAAAAGAUCACCAAAGAUCCCCCUGAUCACCCUCCCCCCCCCCCUCGUUGUGGAAAGCAAAACCCCAGAAUCCUAGAUGAGACCUUAACGAUAAGAGACCGCGAGAGGAAUUUUGCCAAAACCCUCCUAUACACAUAAAGGUACACGUACGUAACGAGGAAUCUAGGUGGGGAGAGGCAGGUCUCCCCCUGAACAUGAGAAAGUCGGACUCCCACGGCACUUCCAUCAAACCCUAUUCGCCACCAUGAGUCGGCGAGUCAGGAGACAGAGGCUUACCCUAGUUUACCCAAAUUUGAUCGGAGUUGCAGAUCCCCAGUCGCUUGUUUAGGAGAACCUCGCCCCGCUUGGAGGACGGAAUGUGUACCAACGGCUGGGCGGUAAUCCGACUGCUCUUGGGCCGAAAAUGCGGGAGCCUCCUGACAGGCGUCCUCUGUCGAGGUGGGAAGGCGAUCAAGGGUGGCUCUCACUCGUCUCGCACCUCGUCAAGAAACCUUCCAAGGCGCCGAGUGGCCGCGGUCGGUGUUGGCGUCUCAUCCCCAGUUGCGACGUCGAGCUGACCCUCACGAGGAGGCGUCAGCAGCGCCGAUGGCUGAGGUGCGAUGGUGGCAUCGCCCAACGUGGGCAUCGCGUCGCUGAGGCCAGAUGUGCUUGGUCGGUCAUCAAACUGUGCAUCGGCGGUGUAGAGUCCGCCGCGGGUGCCGUCGCGACCACCACAACGGGUCCUGUCUAAGGAGGUACGACCUGCACAAGCGAUGACAGAGGCGGAUUCUCUGUGCUUAGAGCAACCAUCAGCGAAGAAGGAGCAACUUGAAGCGUGAUGGCGAACUCCUCAAGCAUUAGGUCAAUCCACGCGGGUGGCGCCGAGCACUUGAGCAGCUCCAACUCUGGGGGGUCAAGCUCGGGGAGGCCGCCGGCAACGAUGACAAUAGUGGCAUUGUUGUCCCUGUUAGAGGUGGCGGACUUCACUGGCUUGCAUCGUCAUCGCCGACGUCCCCGGCUUCCACCGACGCCCACCAUGGUACCCUUCACGGCCCCCUCUACACGUGUCGAGUCAUGGGACGUGCACUAGGGCGCAACAACAUGCCUGGGGCGCCUACAGUCCCUGGCGAGGUGGUGGAGACCGCGGCAGCGUAGGCAGCGCUACUCGAUGAGUAGAGGACAGACAGUUGAAGCAUCUCCUAAAAAGCUCCACGAGGAUCUUUGGGGGCUGCUGACGCUAUGACUGGUCGGUGCGAGACACAGCCAAGCUAGUAGCUGGCCUCGUCUGCUGUUGGUGGAGUACCUCCCGCCACCCGCCGACAUCCGGGGCGGAGAUCCGUCCACAACGGCGCUAGCGAGGAUGGGUGUGACCCUCCACAGGCCGCACGGGUAGGCCACACAGUAGCUGCGGACGUGCCGACCGCACCUGCUCCGCCAACGACCUUGUUGCUGCCUUCUAGGGUUCGCCCCAGCUUGGCCUGAGCCUGAGGCGGGGCGAGCCCUAGCUCUAGCAGAGGGAGCCGAGACCACGGCGUCGAGGUAGCUGCGGUGGUGGCCGCCAAUGGAAACUUCACUAUCGUUGUCUGCCCACCGGCGGAGCCCAACACCGGUGGUCACCGUGGCGGCGUAGCCCAACAUUGUCGUCAGCUGAGACGGGGCUGUGGCUGAGCCCAGUGAGCGACGGGCGUACACCCGCAGCAAGCUAGGCAUCAAAGCCAACAUCGACGCAUCCGCGGCUGGGACGAUGGUCUCCGGUGCCUGGACGGUGACCAGCUCCGGUGGUGACGGUGGCGCAACCCUAGAUCUAGGCUCGCCGGACUUCCCAGUCGCCGGAGGCUACGAGGGCGAGCACAGGGUGCUGGAGGUCGAAGCAGCCGACGUUGCUGCACCUGCUAGUGGAGGAAACGAUGCUACAGCCGCCAGCGCCAUCGACGAGGACGCGAGGUGUCCUGCGCAUGGCUGUCGCGGGGGUGGAGCUGUGGAGGGGGAGGGGGAGGGAGAGGGGGAGCCAGGCAAGGGAGCGGCAGGCUCCAGUGGUUGGGAAGCGGCCGACGCCAGCAGUGGUGGCGGCGCUGAGGAGCCCGUCAGGAGGUGCCCGCUACACACCGCGCUCGGUCCUUAUUGCAAUGUAUUCCACUCAACUUACUUUUUCCAAUUGUAAGAUAUGAUUUUUUUUGUGUCAAUUGAUUAUGGGUAUGUGAUAUUUCAGGUUGAUGUUAAGAAAGCUAUACUCGCAUAUGCCCUUUUUUCUUAAUUGUGUUCUGUAAUUCAUAUAUUUGUGUACCGACAUGUUAAAUUUAUAGUGGUUAGAAAAAUUUUAGAUAAUGGACCAUCACAGUUAUAAAUUCUGGCUACGCCACUGAUACUACUGUGUGAUAGUUGGAAUUGUUUUUGGAUUUUGGCUGUGGUGUAGGAUGCUCUUUUCCAUUGCAAAGCUGAGGCGUUCUGUUUUCUUCUUUGCUGAUUGCAAAUACAAGAUUAAGCAAAGGGUGCAACCUACCGAUCAAUUUCUUUCAAAAGAAGACAGGAUCCAUUUUUGUAGCUGUGUUUUCUAACAAGUGAUACAAGCUCAAGGAUGGAAGUAUGAUAUCUUCUCUACUAUACUUGGUCCAAUCUUCUCUUUAUUUUCCCCAAGUACGACAGGAGAUUUGAUGCCUUUUGUAAUGGUGUAAUAUUGAGAGGAAUGCUAGAAGGAUUCUAGUUAACUAUUAUAUAGGAGUUUUAAUAAAAAAUAUAUGCACACUUUGUGUUAUCCAGUGACGUGCCCGAUGUUGGUGUAUUCUACUGUAGAUGAGAUUAAAGUUAAAGCAUUUUGACUUAGUACAAAACUAACGUGACUUAGAGCAACUCCAAGAGCUUAACUAUUCUUAUUGUGGAGGCUAUUUUAGAAUUUGUAUAUCAAAGGUAGGCUCCAACAGAUGUGCUAUCUGGUUUUGUAAAAUAGAAAGUUGGUUAUCCCUUAAUUUUGGUGACCAUAAAUAGCCAACCAUUGACACUGGCUAUUUGAUUUUGUAAAAUAGUAAGACUGUUGUGGACUUCUUCUUCUUUUUAAGAAGUUUUUCUAUUUUACAAAAUAGCUAAACAAUGAAAUUUGACUACUAAUUUUAGCUAAGCUCUUGGAAUUGCUCUUAGGAGUUUGGUAUAGUCUACAUGCUAAAAUAAUAGAUCUAACAAGUUAAUAGAAGCAAUAGAAACUUUAAAUUUUGUCCUUUUCAAACAAUAUCCUAUAAUAGCUUCAUAAACGAAUUUGCAUUGGUAACUUCUAAAAAUUUCUAACCAACCAGUCCUUUUUAAUAGUUUCUUUGUCUCUUACCUUCAUCUCAUCUAGAAUCCUUUAUUUUCUUCAUUUAUACGUGCAUCUAUUUUAGGCCUUGUUUAGUUCCAAAAUAUUUUGGAAAAUUGACACUGUAGCAUUUUCGUUUGUAUUUGACAAAUAUUGUCCAAUCACGGACUAACUAGGCUCAAAAGAUUCAUCUCGUCAAUUCCGACCAAACUGUGCAAUUAGUUUUUAUUUUCGUCUAUAUUUAGUACUCCAUGCAUGUGUCUAAAGAUUCGAUGUGAUGGAAAAUCUGAAAAAUUUUGCAAAAUUUUUCGGAAACUAAACAAGGCCUUACUCUGGACAUCCAGAGAAAAACACCGGAGGGGGAGCGAAUAUGGAGUUCCUCCGAAACUUACGAGUUGGAGAAGAUAUUUGACAUUUUUUUUACUUUGAGGAGCUAUUUUACCAAACUAUCAGAGAAUAGUUUUCUCUUUCCACAAAAAUAUCAAAAUAGGGAGUUAUUUUAUAAAACUCCUGGAUAAUUUGGAAUAUUUUAUUUACGUGCUAAGAGCAUAUCCAAGAAUUUCCAAUAAAGCCUUCUGAUUUUUGGCAAAAAUAAAAAAAAAAACAUCUCCAAGAGUUCUCAUCCCAUCUCCCAAUCUUUUGACACUUCAAAUAAAUCACCAAACACGUGUAUAUGCCUGUGCGUCUUCCAUGCAUGUAUCGGUCUCCCAAUCUAUGGUGGAAGGGCGUGAGAAAGAAUAAAGAGUAGAAAAGGUUCCCGAUGCAAAUGUACAAGAAAGAAAUUUUUUUAAAAAUGGUUAGGAUAAUUUAGUAUAGGGUUUCUGAUGUAAAUAAUUUUUUAAUAAUUUAGGAGUGAAUUAUUGAAAAUUGUUGGGAUGAUAUUAUUUAUUUCUCUCAAUACUUUUUGACGUAUUGGAGAACUCUAUGAUUUUGGAAAAAAAAAAUCUUGGAAACUCUCAAGUAAAGAUGGCAAUGGGUACCCGAGACCCGAAACCCGAUAGGUUUUUGCUCUAUUAGGGUGAGGAUAUGGGUCAACUUCGCUACCCGUGGGUUUGUUAAUGGGGCAAAAGCUAGACCCAGUGGGUUUAUGGGCAUGGGUCUGGGUGUGUAGUACCCAAACCCACAAACCCAUAGGUUUUUUAAACCCAGUUCACCGUAUCAUCACACAAUAUAAUUAGUACAUAAAGUACAAAAUGCAAGAAAAUAAACGAAAUAGAGAACAUGCAUGCUCCAUACUUUUUUAGUAGAGUCUCCUUAUGAAAGUUGCAGCUAGCUAGCGCGUCUUAGUGCAUGCACCCAGUUCAUCUGGACUCAAAAAUAUGACAGAUGUUGGCACUAAGCAUUAGCAGGUUAUGGCCCAGUGCAUGCUAGAGGUGAGUGUUAUGUCACAACUCGCAAAUUUCUAGUGCGGAGGUGUAAUAACACAUAACAUGAAUCCCACCUUGCCAAUUGAUUCAACUUUAAGUAUUUUGGUGCGCUAUAGAGUAGACUUGCUCACUUGACUGGAUGACCAUCUUAUGACAUGUUGUGACGGACACGGGCAACCCGUUAAAUACCCGUGACCCGAUGGGCAUGGCUUUGGGCACAAAAUCAAACCCGUGACGGGUCAUAGGUUUUUUAGUGGGCAUAUUUUAUAUUAAUGGGCAUGGGUUUGGGAUGGCAAAACCCAGCGGUUUGUACCCGUUGCCAUCUUUACUCUCGAGGGAUGCUCUAGUGUAUGAGAGUGAUGAAACCAUUAGGUUGUGAACUUGAUGAACUCUUAUGUAAACUUGAAUACAUUUACACAAUGUAUGUGUUGUGAUGUUGCACGUUAUGCAAAAGUGUGUGAUAGUGAUCCACUCGUGAAGUCGUGCUAGUAGUGGGUUAUGUAUUGAUAUAUGCAUUGCUUGACAGUUUUUUUUUUUUUGAGAGAGAGGACCAUUGCUUGACAGUUGAGACGCACUUUCCAGCCGUAGAGCCAAAGCCCAUGAGGCUAAGAAUCACGGACCUUGGCCACGAGAUAUUUGUGGUUGGGCCGGAUUAGGCCCAGCCGGGUGCAGCACCCCAACACGUCAAACUCUCUCGGAAAGUCUCCCCCUCCCCCACCUGCAGUCGACGGUUUGGCAGCAAGGCGACCAAUCAGCCGAGAUUUACAUGACCUUCCAUGGAUGAUGAUGAUGGAUGUGGUCCUCGGCGAACCAUCUUGUUUGGAUUCUCUCCCAGAGUCGACGCGACGUUAGCGCAGUUGCACAACGCGGAUUUCCGGGCGUCGUGGCUGCCUGCCCGGUGCGCGCACGGAGGCUGUUCGACGGAACGCCUCAUCGACGGCGCGUCUGGGUAUCUUGUGAUUUGCGACGUAUCCAGGGGCCAGGGCGCAGCACCAGCACGAUGCGGCCGGACGUUUCCGAAGUGCUCGCCACAGAAUGGCGAAAUGGCUGAGGGAAGUGGACGCGGAAGAGGUCACGACGACUGCCUUGUGCACCCAUCGUUUUCAAGGUACUUCUCACAAGUCACAGGUCACAAAACCUCCUUACCAAAUUCAUUUUCUUCUCGCUUUACGUUUCGUUAUUAUGCUAUGCUAUGGGAUCACCCCAUCAGGCGAACAGACGCGGGGGGGGGGGGGGGGGGGGGGGGGGGGCAUAUGAUAUUCCACUUCCACCUGCUCACCUGCAGAUUUGUGCCGGCGUGCACUUCGUUCUUGACUAGUAGUGGGUCGUUGGUCUCAGUCCCCAUCGUGGUCUUGCCGGCCACUAUUGCAAGGCUAGUCCUAGUGCCGUGUUCCCCGUGCAUGAUGUGUGCUCCAAAUUCCACAACGACGGCGAGUCCGUGGUCGUCCUCAACCACAUUGCACUAUCAAGUGGCCUCCGAGCUGAAAACUAACAACAAAACAUCCCUCAGUACCACCAGCUUCCAAGACUCAAACCCAGAGCUAUCCAUGGCAGAGCACGCACGAGGCUCCCAAAUCCUUCUCAUCUACCUCUGCCUCUGCCUCCUGCUACUAUCCUCAGUGCACCUGGCGAUGAGCAGGGACCUCUAUGACGACUUCGACGACAGCUUUGCCGACGAUAGCUUCUCUGAUGAGGUGCCACCGGCAGACGGCUACGACAAUAUGGACGACAGCUUCACUGACGAUAACUUCUCUGAUGAGGUGGCACCGGCAGAUGGCUACGACAACAUGGACGACAGCUUCGCCGACGAUAGCUUCUCUGAUGAGGUGGCACCGGCACGGCGCCUGUAUGACAACAGCUUCAAUGUGCUCAACAGCUCCUCCUCCUCCAACAGGUCUGGCGCGGCCUUCUGCAAGCUGCUGUCCCUGCAGAUACUGGACCUGUCCAACAACAAGCUCACCGGAGAGCUGCCGGACUGCUUGUGGGAGAUGCAGGCUCUGCAGUUUGUGGACCUAUCAAACAACUCUUUCUCGGGUAAGAUCCCCGAAGCCCCAUCGACCCACAACUGUUCUCUAGAAUCGCUCCAUCUUGCCGGCAAUAGCUUCACUGGAGAAUUUCCAAGUGUCGUUAGGGGAUGCCAGCAGCUGGCCACUGUUGAUAUUGGGAACAACAUGUUCCAUGGUGAUAUUCCUCGUUGGAUUGGAAGCGGUGCUCCAGCACUGAAAAUCCUUAGACUUAGUUCAAACAACUUCACUGGUCAAAUUCCUCCGGAGUUAUCACAUCUUUCACAACUUCAGUUGCUAGAAUUGGGCGACAAUGGAUUGACAGGGUUGAUCCCAAUAGAGUUGGGAAGCUUAGAGUCCAUGAAGAAUCCGAAAAUUAAUUCAAGUACAGGAUCGCUAGAUGGGUCCACCUAUCAGGAUAGAAUUGACAUCGUCUGGAAGGGACAAGAGCUGAUAUUUCAAAGAAUACUUGAGCUGAUGACGGGCAUUGAUUUGUCAGGCAAUUCACUGUCGCAUUGCAUCCCUGAAGAGUUAACCAAUCUCCAAGGCCUCCGAUUUCUGAACCUGUCAAGAAACAAUAUGUCAUGUACCAUUCCUAAAAACAUUGGUAGCCUCAAAUAUCUUGAGUCCCUUGAUCUUUCCUGGAAUGAACUUUCAGGACCCAUUCCUCCAAGCUUGAGUAGUUUGUCAUCCCUGAAUACAUUGAAUCUCUCAAACAACCAUUUGUCAGGCAAGAUACCUACCGGGAAUCAACUUCAGACACUCAUAGACCCAUCGAUUUACAGCAACAAUCCUGACCUCUGUGGACCUCCUUUGAACAUUUCAUGCGAAGAUCCGUCACACGCAUUUGAUGAGGGAAAUGGCGGAGAAUUCCAGGACCAAUGGCUGUACUACUGUGUGAUCGCUGGAAUUGUUUUUGGAUUCUGGCUGUGGUAUGGGAUGCUCUUUUCCAUUGCGAAGCUGAGGUAUUCUGUUUUCUUGUUUGUUGAUCGCAUGCAAUACAAAACUAUGCAAAAGGUGCGGCCUAUCAAUCGUUUUCUUUCAAAAGAAAAGAGUGAUCCAUCUUCUGUACCUAUGUUUUCGACAAGUGAUACAAGCUGAAGAAUGGAGUAAUGAUAUCUUCUCUACUAUACCUAGCAAUCCAAUCUUCUCUUUUUUUUCUCCCCUACUAGUACAACAGGAGAUUUGCUGCCUUUCUUUGUAUGCUUUAAGAUGUAAUGCUGAGAGGAGGCCAUAAGGAUUAUAGUCAACUGUUAUAUUGCAAUUUCAGUAAAAAAACAUUAUAUGUUUAAGGAGAUUUGCUGUCUUUCUUUGUAUGCCUUUCUGAUAUGAUAUGUUUAAGAAGUUCUUACUUUUUUGUACUUGAUUCAUUUCUACUGCUGUUAUGAAAAGAAUAUGUAUAUGAAAUUAUUUUCAAGAAGUGGCAUAUAUAUACCUAUCAUCCAUUCAGGGAAAACUUAUGCUGGGAGCUCACUUCCAUCAUCAAAAAGAUUCAGAGGGCUCCAUUUACAAAUAUUGGAGGAAUUGGAGAAGGGUUUUGAAAAAACCAAAAGAAAAGACUUCGAUGGAAUACUAAUCUAGUUUGGUGGAAUUUGUGGAAAAAAAAAGAAACAGAAGAACUCUUCAGCAAAAAAGCCUACAGCCGAUUGAGGUAGCAUAUCUUAUGAAGGAAGAAGUUGAGCAGCAACGCAUAGCUUUGGCAAAUGCCCGGAAUGGAGGAUGAAGUUUUGCAGGAUUAUGAGUUUGUAGUUUUUGAGCCGACUCCCUUUUUCUCUUUUCAGUUUGUAAGUUUUAGUCUUGCCGCCCCAAUGGGCUGUGUUCUCGGCUUUUUCUUCCUUCUUCAUUUUUUUUUGAGAGAACAGGAGAGGUCAAGGAGACCACUACUGAAAUUUAUUGAAGAAAAAUAAUUCAUUUUUGCAGUUUAGUUUUGCUGCUCCGAUGUACAGUGUUUGUAAUUUUUAUUUUUGUUUCCUUUUUUUCUACUAAUAAGCAAAGCUUUUGCCGGCCUUUCCAAAAAAUCAUGCACAGCCAGAAAAGGGUUAGCAAAAUAAAGUGACAAUAGUUUCUCUUAGCUUGCUGCCUUCUGAUAUCUAUAUUCAGUUGCAUAUUUAGCCCUUCCCAUCAAAUGGAGCAACAAGUAAUAAGUAUGGCAAUAAAGUAAAACACCUAAGUUGACUAGUACAGACUAGCUCUUGCAAUUGGUGACUUCCAUAAUAUAUUCAUAGUCUACUAUCAACCAGUUCCACCAAUAAACUUUCCUAGUUCUUGUCUUUGGUACUAGAACUUGAGAAACUUAAUAAGGCUCUAGAAGUGUUUGAGUUUCUGCACAGGUAUAUGUUGCUUCUGGUAGUCUGUUAGUUUGCUUACUAGGAUCUGUCGGGACGGUUCAGAAAGAUAUGCCCGAGCAUGCGACGAUCAUGUACAGUUUCUUCUGCAAUGUCUAAUAUGUCCUGUACUAACAAAUCAUCUUCUGUUGAAGAAGGGAUAGCCAGCAGGGAUGUUAAGAGGUCACCAGGAAUCCAGGAUGCAAAGAGCACAACAGGUAGUUGAGCAUUCAGACAUGUUGAUUGAACAAACAAACAGUCAACACAUAGAACCCUAAACUACCAUUCCUCUCCUCCCAAAAUUCUAGCUAUCUGAUUGUGCCCAUAGUCACCGGAGUUCCCGGAACGACGGAUCGAGGAACGACGAACCGGGAACGGGAACGACGUUUUAGAUUCAGUUUUUCCACUGUGCGAGCGAUUUCGUUCCCGUGUUCCGGUCCCGAACACUCGUUCCGGGAACGUGGAACGCUGCAUCGUUCCCGUUCCGCGGUGACUAAGAUUGUGCCUCGCUGUUAUCCAGCUAGUUGGGUGCUGCCGAACGAAGCUAGAUCGUUACAGAGCAGCGCGAGUGCCACUGCCAGGCUGCCAGCCGAUCCUAGCAGAUGCACCACAAAAAGCUACUCACCUGCUGAUAGCAAACGGGAUUCCUCAACCACGUUGAACAACAGCAUGAUUGAUGUUGGGAAAAAGUUCAAAAGAAUUAUAGUCGGUGGUUGUACUGCAAUUUCAAUGAAUAAAUAUAGGUUACUUAAUAUGUACCUGCAGGGUCUUUUUUUUCCUACCGGUAAAGACUAUUUUCUAAUCGUGCUACUCUACUCGGUAUAUUUCUACAAUUAUGUGUCCUGAUUCCUGACUUCCAUGGAAAUAUUGAUGCAGCAUGUACAUGAAACUGUUCAGGUAGUGAGACAUCUGUGCUGUUUUUUUUUUUUGGAAGGAAAAAAAAUGGCAAGAUCUCUGCCUUGCAUUUAAGUAGAAAAACACAAUCUGGUCACAAUGUGCAGUAUCAUCUCAGAGAAAGCUCUUGUCAUAUUUGAGAAAUACUCACUCCGGUCCAUUUUAUCUGGCGCAGGUUAGAAUGACACGGUCUUCUAGAUUACAUUUUGACCAUUCAUUUACUUUAUAUUAUAUUAUUUAUGCUUAUAAACUUAUAAUCAUUGGAUAGUAUAAUUCUUUACAAAUUUAAUUAUAUAAAAUUUGUGUUAUAAUAGUUAAUAAUUAUUAGUCUAAUUAAUGGUCAAAGUUUUAAAAGUUUGAAUUUUGAUAUACGUGUGCGCCAGAUAAAAUGGACCGUAGGGAGUAAUAAGCAAAGUGGCUGAAGAACACCUCUUACAAGUUACGACUUGUGGUUUUCCACUAUCUACGGUACAGUUGCAUGUUUAUAGCCCGCUUGGCAGGCGGGCCGGGGGGGGGCGAACAUCAGCAUAGUAGCGAAUUGAGUACAGCUAACUUUGUGUACAUAUAGACUUCUAAGGAUCUCCAGAAUAGUUUUGUGGUCUAUCACUAUGCAGUCUGAGAAAAAAUUAGUCCUCUCAAACUGCAUCCAAAAAAAUACAUUAACUACAAAUUUCACUUGUUGAGCUUCAAACCU